GGUGAAAGAGUUACGUAAUAAGUGAGUUCCGUUAGUGAAAGUGCUAUGGCGUAGUCAUAGUGUUGAGAAAGACACUUGGGAACCAGAAGAGACAAUGAGAUCUCAGUACCCCCACCUCUUUUGAAGUAAAUUUCGAGGAUGAAAUUUAAUUAGGGGGAGAAUUGUAACGAUCUGAUAGUCAGGGAUGUCAAAAAUUGCAUUCCCAAGGCUCUGUCCCUGUAAAUCAGACUCGUAAAUAUUAAUAAAUAUUUACGAAGCUAGUUGUGUAGUUAAUUAGGUUUCGAUUAAGUGAAUUUACAUGAGUUAGAAGUAAUUAGGUAUAAGGACUAAAUUGCAUAUAGGGUGAAAGUUGAAUUAUAGAUUAAAGAAUAAUUAAAGAGACUAAAUAAGUAAUUUUACCAUUGUUCUUUAAGUGGGACGGUUAGUGAUAUAUAUUAUAUGUAAAUUUAUUUUAUAUAUUAUAUUAUAAUAUGAAAUCUUAAUUGUUAAGUAUAUAUAUUAUAUAAUUAGAAUGAAACAAAUAAGUAAAAGAAAAAGUAAUAAAAGACUUAAAAAUUAGAAAGAAAGAAAGAGAGAAGGAAGAAACGCAUAGCCAAGGGCUCUAAAUUUUCAAAGUUUAAUUGGUUAGUCAAUUUAGUCCCUUUUUCUUGUAAUUUGUAUGUUUUUGGAAUCCCGAUACCUAAGGUUAACUGACCCAUGUUGAAAUUUUAACAUUGAUUGAGUUUUUAAAGUUUGUUAAUGUUGAUAAAUUUUAGUAUUAGGGGUUAAAUUGAUAGAUUCUUAAGCUAAAAAUGAAAAAGGAUUAAAUUGUAGAAUAAAUUAUAAAUUUUGAAUAAUAGGGACUAAAUUGUGAAAAAUUCAAAAUUUAAGGGUUUAAGUGAAAAUAGAGAGUUAAAUUUAGUUUAAAGUGGAAUUUGUAUGAAAAUAUAGAAUUAAAUGUGAAGAAUAAAAAUCAGUCUCGAUUUAGGGACUAAAUUGAAAUUUAGGCAAAUAUUGAGUAAAAAUUUAAAUAUUCAAUAUGAAAUUGAAUUGUGUUGCAUUAAUGAAUUUUAAUUGUUUUAAUUUCGUAGCUAACGUUGUAUCGAAAUCCUCGACUAAAAAGGGGAAAGAUAAAAUGACAUGGAAUAGCUCGGAAUUCACGGUUUGUAUUUCUAUAAUCCGAACCUAGUUACUAAUUGUUGUAUUUUGAUUUAAUGCAUAUGGUAAGUGGUUGAGGUGAGUAUUUGGCGCUUUAAUAUUGAAUUGAAUUAAAGUUGAUUGAAAUGGAUUGAAUUGGUAUAUAUAUUAUGAAUGUAUGGAUUAUUUGAAUUGGAAUGAAUAUUCAUGUGUAUAUGUGAUUAUAUGAAAUUUUUAUAUUGGAUAUUGGUUGUUUUUGAAAUGUGAAAUUAAACCCUAUUAAUUGUAUCAGGCUGAGUCAAAUAUAGAUGGCAUGACAUAGGAUGGGAAGAGUCUAGGGAAUUCUUCAACUUCGAGUUGAUGAGGCACUAGAUGCCAAUUUACUUCGAUUUAACCGAUGAGACACUGGGUGUCAAAUUUAUAUAGCGCUGGGCGCAUAUUACUUUAGAUUAUCCGAUGAGGCACUGGGUGCCAAAUUGGUGUGUUGGUUGGAUCCGUGUAUCCGUCUAAAUUUGAGUCGUGUUAAUAGGGGUAAUUAAAUAAUACGGUACUAUGAUUGAUAUUGGAUGAUAUUGUAUGUGAAUUGAAAAUGGGAUAGUGAUUUGAAACAUGAAAAUGAGAUACAUGAGUUAUGUACUCAUGAAUUGGAUAUGGAAUGGAUAAAGUUAUUGUUUAAAUGAUAUGUGGAUCAAAUUGUGAAAAGCUAUUAUAUAGCAAGUGAUGAGAAUUGAGUAUGGUAUGAAAUGAUGUAUUCAUGAGUUGAGUAUUGAAUGGCUAAUGCCAUUGUGAUGAGAAUUGAGUAUGGUAUGAAAUGAUGUAUUCAUGAGUUGAGUAUUGAAUGGCUAAUGCCAUUGUACAAACAAAUGUGGUUUGAUAUGUGAAUAACUAUUUAUAUAACAAUUGUGUGAAUUGAGACAUUGUUUAACAAAUGAAAUAUGAUAGUAUAUGAUAGUCAUGAUACUAGACAUUAAUAUGUGCUUAUAAUUUAAUUGUGGAUAUGAUAUUAUCUUGUCUUUAAUAUUCGGAUUAUAGAAAUACCACUGAGUUUUACUCAGCGUACGGUUUUAUUUUUCAUGCGCAAGUUAGGUACUUAACUUUUGAUCGCCGAUUCAACAUCCAACAACGAUCCCGAACUCAAAUGUUCUAAUGUUUAUCUUUUGUGUCAGCAUAUACGUAGGAUGUCUAAAUGAUAAUUAUUUUGUGAAUGGAUUGUAAAUAAGGUUGUAAGUGUAAUGUUGGUUUGGUAUAUACAUAUAAACAUGUGUUUGUGUUUGAAGCCAUAUUAUGGCAUGGUAAAUUGAACCAAAUCUAAAUAGAUGCAUGUGAAUUUAAGUUGAUGUUUAAGUACUCAUGAACUAGGCAAAAUGGAUUGAAUUUGGUAUGUUUAUAAUUUGGAUUUGAGUGAUGCUUUGAUGAUAUGAAUUGAGGAUAUAAAUGUGGUACCAAUGAAGGUACAUUGGUUAGGCAUCUAUGAUGAUUGUUUUGACAUGUUUUGGCAGUAUCUGAUCAUUUUUUGAACUAGUUAAACGGAUGUUUUUUGAAUUGUUUAAUGUCCAAGCUUGCAGGGAAUGGUAAAUUAUUGUUUAAGGCACCUUUGAGGUCCACACGGCUAGACAUACGGGCGUGUGACUUGGCCGUGUGAGACACACAGCUAGCACACGAGCAUGUGAGGCCAUUUCAAAGGGUACACGACCUGGCACACGGGCGUACAAGUCAGAGAGUUACACAGGCACAAACACAGGCUAGGACACGACCAUGUGUCCCUGAUUCGAAUGCCCACACUGUUAGACACAUGGGCGUGUGACUUGGCCGUGUGAACCUUGUAGCUAAAAUUUUUUCCAACUUUUUCUAAAAAUUUUCAAAUGUUCCCGAUUUAGUCUAAAAUCGUUUCUAAACUGUUUUCAAACCCUCAAAGACUUAAUAUGGGAUUCUAUGCAUGUUAAUGAUGAAUUAUUUUAUGAUUUUUGAAAUGUCUGAAAUGAAUGAUAGAUUACGAUUCGGUAAUGUCCUGAAAUCCUAUCCUGACGACGGAUACGGGUUGGGAGUGCUAUAGUUCAAACCCCAUAAAAUAAUCAUUAAUGGGAGUAAUAAAGUGUGUAAAUCCGACAAUAUGUAUAUUUUACUCUCUCUUUUUAAAAUUAAAAAGAUUAAAGUACCAUAAAAAAAUAUAACUUAUUUUAUAUACAAAAAAUCAUUUUUAUAAUUUCCUAAUGAAUUAAUACCUGAUUAACUAAUAACAUUAACCUGCUGCUUUUUCUUAUUUCUUUGUAUUUCUAUAAUAAUAAUAACAAUAAUAAAGUUAACAAGUCACAUCUUAUGUUAAAUAUUAUAAAAUCAUUUUAUCCAAAUAAAAAUGGGUUAACAACUUAACAUCUUUUGUGCCUGGGCUCUUUCUUAAUAUAUACUUUUUGUUUAUUUAUUCUAUAUCUUAAACUCCUGAUUUAAUUUAUACUACGUGUUAAUUGGACAUUAAUUUGGGUAAAAAAAUUUAUAAAAAUAUUAUUUUUCUAUUACGAAAAGAGUAUUUUUGAGGUCUUUAUACUCAUUAUGCCUAGCAUUGAAUAUACCGGGUAUUCACCCUAUUAAAAUUUCAAAUCAAUGAUGGAGUUGAUUCGGAUCUUGCCUAAACGGCACCCAAAUCGAACCGAACCAUUUAUCAAGCUAUUUUUCCUUCAAAGUUAUAGAGUAAGACAUCAAUUUCUUAAAAAGAUCAAUUCUUUUGAUUGCAUGAUAGACUUCCCUGAAAAACAUUGGCGCACGUGUAAACGAGAUGCUCUACCAACUCAGCUAUAACCCUUGUGUUUGUGAUACAUAUUUUAUCAUAUUAUGUAGAUAAUUUAUUGUCAAGAUGAAUAUUACAUGAUCCAACAUCAUAAUCAUACCCUUUUGGUCGGUUUGAUUGGUAUAAAACAAGUUAUAUUAUUUAAAGGUACUUUAGUCUUCUUAAUUAAAAAAACAAUAAAAAAAUAUUGUUAUGAUUGCAUCAGUAAAACCUUUAAAUUAUCACUCAAUCACAACUUUAUUUUAUUUUUUAUACAUUUUAAUUUUAUUAUGCAAACUUUAUUACCUCUAUCAAUUAUAUAUUUAUACUAUUAUUUAAACUCACCUCUAUAUUUUAAAUACGUGAUUUCUGCAUGCAUACAUGUAUGAUAAAAUUUUAAUAUAUAUAAAGUAACUUUUAACUUAAAUUGAAAAAGAAAUCAUUGCUAGUUUUGACAAUUUUAAUAAAAAUGAAAGCUUUAAAUUUUUAAUAUUUAAAUUUCAUUUGUGUGUUUUCGGUCUCACUUUCUGGUUUCUCUCCCGUUUAUCUGACAUGUAUAUUUUAUUAUACUGUUUUUUAAGUCUCCAUUGUAUAAAAAAAUAAAAUUACUUUUACCAAUUUUUUAAGGUCAAUGUAUUAUUAUUGGUAAUUAAUCUUAUGUUUGUAAAAAUGAAUAAGGUCAAUAUAUUAUUAUUCCCACAUAUAUUUGUAUUUUUAAUAAAAUUUUGAAUUUUUUUUAAAUCACUAACAAUAAAUAACAAUAUAUGAUAAUUUUUAUCUUAUUUAUUUAAUUUUAUACAUGAAAUUUUUAAUCAAUUCGGAUGUGACCUCGUUAAAUCUCAAUAAGACUAGUUUCCAAUUAUGAUUUGAGAAAACUAUAAUCCUUUUAACUAAGAAUUAUAUUUAUAAAGAAAAGCAACCCAUUUUUGUAUUUCUCCUAAAUUAGGAAUAUACAUAAAACCAAACUAUCCGAAAAAAAAAAGAAAAAGAAAAAGAAAAAAGCUAAACCCCCCAAUAUAGUAAACUACAUAUAACCAAGGGGAAAAUUGUACCACUAAAAUGUAGGUCCAAAACAUCAUUGAGCUACUAAUUGGACACACCUUUGGUCCUUAAGCAAUUCAACAACCUUUCUCAUUGAAGGUCUAUUAAUAGGAAAUGCUGAUGUACACUUAAGUGCCACAUUCAAAACCCUUUCAAUUUCCUUCAUUUCAUAUGUUGAUGGCUUCAUCCUUGGAUCAACAAUCUCAGCUACUUUUUUGCCGAAAUACCCUCCGCUGUCGUUGCCGCCUUGGGCAGAUGCCGAUGGUGGCAGUGAUGAUAGAACAACCUCGGUGACCCACUUCACUAAAUCCUUGUUCUCGCCGAAUGAAGAGUCGUUAGGACGUUUGCCGGUGAUUAGUUCUAGCAAGACAACUCCGAAACUAUAUACGUCACUCUUUUCCGUCACCUUUAGUGUGUAACCAUAUUCUGCAAAGGGAUAGUAAACACGGUUAAGAUAACGGUCCAUCAUAGAACGCGGAACCGUUAUCAUUAUUAGUUGUUGUUGAUAAAGUGAUGAAAUGGAUUCUUUUUACUGUUACUUGAUCAUAUUAUUAACGACUACGUGGAAUUCUAGACAAUAAUUUUUAACUAAUAAUAAAUGUUCUAACCUGGGGCAAUAUAUCCAUGGGUUCCGGCAAUGCGAGACAUAGCUCCGCCGUUAGAACCGUCGUCCCCGGCUUCAAUUUGCAACGUUUUAGCCAACCCAAAAUCCGCCACGCGUGGCCGCAUCUCCUCAUCUAGCAAUAUGUUGUUACUCUUCACAUCACGGUGAACUAUAGGAGGCAGACAAUCAUGGUGCAAAUAAGCCAGCCCCUGAGCGGCGCCGACCGCAAUCGCGAACCGCUUCGGCCAAUCUGCUAAACCACCCCACUUGUCGCCAUGUAACACAUCGCCUAAGCUACCGUUUUCCAUGCACUCGUAAACUAAAACCCUGAACUCAUCCCCACUACAACACAUCAAUAGUUUCACGAUGUUGCCGUGUCGGAUCCGACCUAACGUCUCGGUUUCAGACCUGAAAACCUCUUCUGCCUCACGUUUAACACCCCAUAGCCUCUUAACCGCCACGGUUUGACCUGUUUUGAGUUUCACUUUAUAAACCCGACCCGACCCGCCUGUUCCAAUGAUACAAUCGUCUUUCAUGAACGGGAAUAUCUCAUCUUCGUUGAACUCAACCCGUUGAAACAAGGUGACUUUGUACGGCCGUCGGGUUUUGCUACCAAAUUUGGAUCGCGUUCUGAAAAACCAAAUGACCGACCCGAUAAGUAGUAUAAGGCAGACUGUUAAAAUACCCACAACGUAGAAGGUACCAGGUUUGAUUCUUGGGCAUGGAGGAAGCGGGUUCAAAUUCGGGCUACAAAGAUCAGGAUUACCUAAUAGACCCGAAAUGAAGAACUCAUUAUUGAAACCCGAUGGUACUUUACCGUUCAACAAAUUACCCGAAAGGUUAAACCGGUUCAACCUCAGCUUCGUUAAAUCUUCUGGAAUUUUACCGAUCAGUAAAUUACCGGACAAAUCGAGGUAAAUUAAUGCCGGUAGGUUACCGAGGGUAGGUGGGAUUUCGCCGGUGAAUCUAUUUCUGGCAAGGUUCAACUCAGUCAACUCAGUCCAUGAACCCACUGAACCUGGUAGAUUCCCUGUUAACUCAUUAUCUUCUAACUCAAGCGUUUGUAACUUCAAAUCAGUGAUACAUAACGGCAGUCCACCGGAAAAUCGAUUUUGGCUCAGAUUAAUUUGUGUCAAAUUAUGUAAUUUACACAUACCUUCUGGAAUGUCGCCAGAGAAAUUAUUACCGGAAAUUCGAAGAAUUGUUAGCUUUUGAAGUGCUGAGAUUGAAGGAGAAAUUGAACCCUCGAAAUGAUUGUUUUGUAAUUCAAAAAGCUGCAUUAAAGGCAGACCCCAGAAUUUUUCCGGCACGUUACCGGAAAAUGCGUUAUCACCCAUUCGAAUAUAAUUCAAGGACUCACAUUCGCCGUAGGAUUCCGGUAUGCUCCCCGAGAACCGAUUCGUAAAAAUGACUAUGCGCUGAAGCUUCCUUUUGUGACAAAGAAACGGCGGUAACUCGCCGGAGAAAUAAUUAGUCGAAACAUCGAAGUCUUCUAAAGGAGAAAACUUACCGAGGUCGGACGGUAACUUUCCGGUGAAGCUGUUGUUGAAGAGCUUUAGCUGUGAGAGAUAUUGAUUCGAAGCUAAAACUUCAGGGAUUUCACCGGUGAAAAAGUUGUCAUUGAGAUUCAAAGACUCGAGAGGCAUUGCAGCGAUUUUCUCCGGUAAUUUUCCGGUGAGGCUGUUCUGUGAGACAUCGAGUCGAAGUAGACUUGUCAACUCAGCUAAACUCUCAGGUAACUCACCGGUUAACUGGUUUUGAUAAAGCUCGAUUUGCUCCAGUUUCUUUAACUUCGAUAAGCUUUCUGGGAUUUUACCAAUCAGGAAAUUACAUGUUAAAUCCAGACUCUUUAACGAAAUGAGAUUCCCAAUCGAAAACGGAAUUUCGCCGACGAGAUUCGCGUUCGUCAACCAUAAAUAUUCGAGCUUCGACAAGUUUCCGAUCUCGUCCGGCAAUGGACUCGGUUUGAAAGGAUUGUACCCGAGUGCGAAGUCAGUUAACUCAGUAAGAUUACCCAGAAAAGAAGGUACCUUUCCGUUGAGUAGGUUCCCACCAAGUGAAAGAACUUUGAGAGAUUUCAUCCGUCCGAAACUCACUGGAAUAUCGCCGGUGAAAUUAUUGUUAGAAAGCUCAAGAACUUCCAAAUGCUCCGACGAGAAAUCCGGUAACUCGCCGACGAAUAUGUUACCCGAAAGAUCAAUCUUCCGUAGACGAAAACACGGAGAAAUAGCCUGAGAAGACAGUGAACCGUUGAGGUUAUUAUCGGCGAGAUAAAGAGUUCGAAGGGUCCGAAUCCGACAAAACUCAAACGGAAACCCACCAGAGAUUCCAAACCCAGAAAGAUCAAUCGAAGCAACAGUACGGUUACGAGAUUCACACCAAACACCGGUCCAAUUACACGGACUUUGAUCAGGCGUCAAAAUAACCCAAUCGCGUAACCGUCCAUUCGGAUCAUCAAGCUGAGAAUCCUUGACGCGAAUCAGUAUUUGCGAAUCUCCAUUGAAAGAAACCACGAAAGUGAAAACACAAACAACCCAAAAAAGGAAACAAAUCAAAGCUUUCAAAUCUGGGUUUCUCAUUUUCAAUCCAAAAACAAGAACACCACUCGAAAAAUCAUGGCUUUUUUGCUUUUGGGGGGGUGGUUUUGUUUUUAAGUGAAAAAACAGUGACGGUUACUGCAUGAAGACGAUGAAGAUUAAAGAUUUAAACUUUAUUUUUUUUCAAGUUCACAUGAAAAAAGCGAUUCAAAAAUGGAAUCUUCUACUACUUUUUUCCACUGUUUAUUUUAUAAUUAUGGGGUGUGUCGCCAAAUGACAUCGAAUUGCAGCAUUGGAAUCGAAGUGAAUUUGUGGUUUACAGUGGUGGGGGGGGGGAGGUAACUUAGAAAACGUGAUUUGGUGUUUCGUUUAGGCAGUUUAUUAAGGAAAGAGGAAGUGACAAAAAGCAGAUGCUUUUAUUGGGUUUGCCAAAACAGAGAAUUGAUGCAAGAUUAAUGUGAUUUAUUAUCAUAAUUUUCCUUUUCUUGGAUUUUGAAAACUGACUUUCAAAUAUGAAAAUUUUGUUGUAUUAGAUUUAAUUUGAGAGCAACGGGGGUGUUUGAAAAUGAAAGUUAAAAAGGGAAAACUAGGAGUAAGAUUAUGUAUUAGAUUUAGGGUGGGUUUGGAUGGGUAAUUGGGCGUGAUGUUGUGCAUUUAGUUUAUUUUUUGUCUCACGCUACUGUAUUGCUACAAUAUCUAAUCACACUGCCACCACUAUUUUUAUAUUAUCCACAUAUAAACGUACCUCCAUCUAAACUCACCCUUAAUUUUCCUUUUUUUUUGUUGAUUUUUAUUAUUGAAAACUAGCGGAAUAGUUAAAUAGUUAUAUUUAGUGUCAUGUGUAUUUUUAUAUUGACAUAUAAAAAAUAAUUUUUAACAUUAAAAAAUGAGUAUAAAUUUUAACAAAAUGAUAAAUUUGUUUUCUAAUAUAUAAUAAUAAUAAUAAGAGAAAAUAACAGAUUAGAUAAAGACCACCCAUUGAAAAUUAUGUCAGCAUUAUCAGUCUACAAUAUUUAAACAAUUGCCUCUCAAGGAUAAUGAAAGAAUUGUAAAAAUGUAAUUUCAUCAUUUUAAUAGUCCAUUUCUUUAUAAUUUUUAAAAGAUUAAAUCAAAUUUUUAUUUUUUUAGGGGGUCAAAGUAUAAUUUUACCUUUAGUGAUUUAAAUUUUAAAAAAAUUUAAAGGCCUAAAUGGAAACUUUUUCAUUUGGGAGGAUGAGAGCUCCUGUCAACCCUCUUAGUUUUGCCCCUGAAAUACUAAGUCUCUUAAUCUUGCUAGGUUCGUCAUCACAUCAGUAGCAGGGGUAAAGUCAGAAAAAAAAUUUAGAGGGUCAGAAUUAAGUUGUAUAUUUUUUCGAUAUUAAAAAAUACAAUUUUACAAUUUUAAUAGCAUAUAUCUUUAUAGUUUUGAAGGAUUAAAUUAAAAUUUUAUUAUUUUUGGGAGGCAAAGUAUAAAUUUACCAUUAUUAAAUUAAAAAUUUAUAAAUUACAAAUUAGUUAAAACUAAAAAAAAAAUCAUUUUAGGGGAUUAGUGCCCCUUAUAACCCCCUAGCUCUACCCUUAGUUACAUGGUUUACCUUCUCUACAUAUAUACACAACUUCCACUUAUCAAGGUCGUUUUGGUCUAAUGUAUAAAUAUUUAUUUAUUUAUUUUUUAAAUAAAGUAAAUAAAAUAUAAUUCAAUUCAUAAUACAAGUGUCACCAUAAUAUUUUUACAAAAAUGAAAUUGCUUUAAAAUUUGAUUAUUGGUUAUGAAUUUUUUUUAAUUUUAUAAACCGAAUGAAAAUAUUAUGAGGUGUGCUUUUUAAAAUAUUAAUUAAAAUUAUAUUUUUAUUAAAUUAAUUAAAAAAAAGGGAGUAUGAAAUUUCGUUUUAAUUAGAUAAUUGGAGGUGCCAAAUAUCAUAGGCAAAUUGAAGAAUAAUUAAGGGAAUUUGGAAGGGUUUGGUUUCAGUCAAUUCAUUCAUGUGCAUUGUAAGAUAGCCUAAAAUUGGUAAAAAGGAAGGGUUUUAAUUAAAAUAGUAUAGUAGAUUCUUUCCUCUAAAAAAAUAAGAUCAUGCAUUAUCCAUUUUAUAAAAUUUUAUUACUUAAAUAAUUCUUCAAUCAAAAUGUUAUAUCAGUUUAAGGAUAUGUAUUGAAUUAAUUGAUUUACAAAUCGAUAUAGACUUAUUGAAUCGAGUUAAAAAAUGGGUUGAAUCAGUUUUCUCUCUUUUUUUAAUAAUAAUUUAUUGGUUUAAUAUUAAUUUAAUUAUAAGUUUUUAUCAUAUCUGUUUUUUAUACAAUGCUUAACUAUCUGUAACCCCUCCCCAACCCUUAAAUAGGAGGAUAAUACGUUUUAAUACACUAGAACCAAUAUCCUCUUACAUUUACAAUAAUAUUAAUACCAAUCGAACUAUUUUAAAAUCACGAUACGACAGGGGAAAAAAGCUAAUAUAGUGGGAGGGACUAGGGAGAAGUUUUUUUUUAUUUUGCAGUGUUCCAAUGUAGGGGCAUUAAACACGAUUAGAAUGUGAUUUGUGGUCAAAUUGGACCUUGAAAUGUGAACUUUGAGGAUGAAAAUAAAGUAAUUAAAAAGAUAGAGCAUCCCCCGGGCUCUUCGUCGCCGUGAUGACUCGGUUGUUUCGAUACCCGAGGUCGAGACCCUGUCUUAAUUACCCAAAUUAGGAGUGCCUUGAAACCACAACAUUAUUCAUUCGUGCCUAUAUUUAUUAUUAUUUAAUUCACAUUUGAGUUUGGUUUAAUCCUAGAAAAUAAUAUAUUAAUUAUAUAUGAGUUAAAUAUUUAUAUUGUUAUAUAAAAUAUGUCGAUUAGGUCUUAAUUUAAUUGAUAUCUAUAUUGUUAUCAGUGUAAAAUGAUAUGAGUGUACGUGUUUUUAUUUAAGGAUUAAAGAGAGACUAUAAAUAAUUUUAAAAAUUAUAUAAGAAAAUAUAUAUGAUAAAAAUUUAUAACAAGAUUCAUAGUAAAAAAAUUUAAUUUUAUACUUAUAAUAAGUAUAGAUAAUGUUUUUUUUUUUGAACUCUCACGUACAAAAGUCACAUUUUUCUCUCGUGACUCACACACACAAAUAUAUAUUUAUAGAUCCGAAGGCAAAAACUUGGUUGAGCUAACACAUCUGGUUCUCAAUUAUAAUAAUCUAUAAAGAAAAAGAAACAAAAGUUAAUGAUGUUGGUUAUAAGUGCUUUAAUCCAUGGUAAGUAGAGAUUAUGUCAACAUCAACUAGUGAUUAACAGAGAUAUCUCCAGCUUUAUUUAGAUUUGCUUUUAUUAAUUAAUUAUUAGUUAACAAAUUCAAAACUCACUUUGGGUGUCAACCUACCAUAAGACUUGAGAAUUCCAAAAAAAACAAAAUUAAAAUUAACAGCUUGGAUUUUUGAUAUUCAUGAGUUGGGUUGAACUAAAUUAAAAUCUAAAUUUAAAAAUAUUUUUAAGCAAAAGCCGAUUUUUAGGGUUGACGUAUUUAGGUAAGCUCGAUCUGCUCAAAAAUUUUAUUUUACUACUUAAAAAUAAUAAACUAUGGUUUUAAUUGAUAUUUUAUAUAAUUUUAUAGUUAAUUUUAAAUUGAAUUUAGGACCAGACGAAACCGAUAUGAGAAAUUUUGUAUUCAAAAUUGACCUUAGUUGAAUCAAAUUUACCGAAUUGAGCCAAGUACCCUACGUUUGAACAGGUCUAUUAGCAAGAGUAAGUCAAAAAGUCUAUGGGUCUAGUGGGGUAUUUCUUUUAUGCAUCUUUUUCAACAUUCCAUUGGCUGUAAUGGCAGCCGCUGUUGACUGCUUUAGAAGAACUGUAGGGUUACCUGAACCCCCAAAAUUCUAGAACACUGGGUAGACACAAUUGAAAGAUUAUUGGACUGGUAGAUUUAUUUUGGGUUAAAUCAAGUUUUAAGAUUUUUUAAUAUUUUUAUUUAUGUAAUUUGAGAUUAUUUUGGGUUUGAUCAAUUCAAGCUCGUAUUAUUUUAAGUAAUUUAUUCGAAUCAUUUCAAAUUAAAAUAUUAAAUUGUGAAGAACUCAAGUUUGAAUAAGAAUUAAGUUGAAAAUCAAGUACCCAAGCCUUUAAAUAAAUCUAUUUAGCCAUUCGUCCUGGUGGGUGCUGUUCUAACUUGCUUGGGGGGAUAGAUAAAAGUAAUGUCAACUGGGGUUUCUAAGUUUGGAUUAUUGAUAGUUGCUUCACUUAGAAGAUGAUGAAUGAGGAAGCCAAUCCUUUCUACUAAGUAAUUGGGCAAAUAUUAAACUUGAACUUCAAGCUAAGCUUAUAUAUAUAUAUAUAUAUAUGAUCUUUUCCAUAUUUUAAGGCAGUGCAUCUUCCACUUUGAUAAUAUGAAUGCCAUUUUUUAAAGUGAUGAACAUAAAGCCAAAACAGGUCACAAUCCUUCACAGUCUAAUAUAUUAGAGAAUUUUCUUCAUUUUUUUCAAUACAACGAAUAAAAAUGCAAUUUAUCAUACUCUUAAUUUCGAUGACAAGGACUCAAAUUUUGGAAAUUAUUUCUUUUUAAAAAAAAUUUAGAUGUUAUUUAUUUUUACCAUAUUUAAGUUUAUGAUUGAAAUAGUGUCGUCAGUUAACUUGUUUUUAAUUUAGUUGAGAAAUGAUUAAAAUAAUAAAGAUGUAAUGAUAAAUUAACUCCUAAAGUUUAUUCCUUUUAUUACUUUGGUCUUAAUUCUUCUUUUUUAUGGGAGGGGGGGACUACACUAGUAUUCCUUAACGUUCAAAUUUUGGUCAAAUUAUUUCUGUUUUUUGAAUUGUUAAAAUUUUAACAGCAUUGAUGUGUAUGUGUACUCCAUUCUUGAUGUGGAUUUUUUUAAAGAAAAAAUUAAAUAUUUUUUAUGUAUUUUUUAAUUUUUAUAAAGUACUCAUAAAUCACUAUGUGAAUUGUCAUGUCAGUUCUGUUAAAAUUUUAACAGUCAAGUCAGUUUUUCCCUUAAAUUACUUUAAACUUAAAGGUUAAGGACUAAAAUGAUAAUAAAAAUUAACCAUUAAAAAUUAAAUUACCAAUAAUAAAUAUUACGAUAAAAAUAGUUUUAUUUUUUAUUAAAUAUUUUUACAUAAAAUUUAUAAAGAUCAAUUUUAUCAUUCCAAUCAAAACUUUAUUUUUCUUUUACAUAAAAAAAUGUCAUCCAAAAAAAUCAUAAUGUAGUGUAUAAUACAGACAUUGAUGUUAGAUUGUAAUUAUAUUAGCAUAGUAACUUGGUUUUCGGGGGAAAUAUUAUAAAGUACUUCAAAAGUUUCACAUGCCUAAAAUUCUUUUUGGUCUUGUUUAUGUGUAUUUUGGAAGCAAAUUAGGUUUAUAAUAUAAUUAUUAUUACUUUUUAAACAAUUUUAUUAUAGGUUUUGAUCAUAUUUGUUUUUUUUUUUAACAUAAUACCUAAAAUUAUCUAUAGCCCAUCCCUAACCGAUAAAUAGGAGGAUAAUGCAUUUCAGCGCACUCAAACCACGUCCUUCUGUCACGGGGCUAGACCUUUCGUCUCGCAAACCGUGCGGCCUUAGGCGAUCCGUUUGCUUCAAACUCUCCUAAGUCAGCCUUUACGCCCAAAAGUGAGGAUUCUUUAGAACUCCUCCAAGGCACCAAUUUGUAUAGCGAAAGCGAUUGUGCCAAAAGAAGCUACAAGAGAACAACAGAAAGAGCGUUCACAAAGUGUUUGAGUAAAUGCUCUCAAUUCUCUUAUUCACAAAGAAUAAUGAAACAAUUCAGGAGUGAGUACAAAUGAGGGGGAGGCUCUCUAUUUAUAGUUGAGCUCCCCCAAAACCGACGGUCAAGAUACAUUUACAUCGACGGAUGAGAUUUAACCAUAUCCCUUAAUUUUAGGGAUUUACAAGAUAAGCCUUAUCAAAUCUAAUCUAAUAUUUACAAGAUAUGAUUCCCUCUAUCUUCUAAGAUUAGUUACCAUAUUAGCCUAAGUUGCCAUCUCUUCAUUAUCGGGCCAACUAGGCUUCAAUCUGACAGGCUUAUCUAAUAGCUCUUUGAAUCGGGCCAGUUCUCAUAGGCCAAAUGAUCCCCAUCUAAGUAAUAGACCUCCAUUGGAUGCAUUUGGUGUGAUGGUCACGGGUUUUAAACUGCAGCCCGUGACAUUCUCCCCCACCCAUUCUCGCAACGCCCUCGUUGCGACUUCUGAAUGGCACUGACUUGAUUCGCCUCGGUCUCGUCUCGACGCCUUAGCCUUUCCCUUCUUUCGAGACUUUUGCCUCGGCAUACGUCGCUUCUUAACUCAAGCCAUCCUACUCGCUGCAUUUACUCUGGUCCACUAUCCCACAUGCAUCGUUUCUUUUUCCUUGAAGUCUGAUGCACCACCCACCUCUCCCAUAGGUGGAAGCAUUGUCGAUGACUCUGCCAACUCUGAUGCUUCACUCAACUUGAGCCUCAUUAGUCCUAGCUUCACUGUUUUCAUCGCAACUUUUCCCUUUAAGUCCAAUGACAAACUCACCUCUUCCUUUGGUGGAAGCCCCUCCGAUGACUCAACAAGCUCAUACAUUGCCUUUCUUUUGACUCCGGCUUACUUUGGACAGUUUCGCAACUCAUGCAGACCACGGCACAAGAAGUACUUUACUCGCUUCUUUUUGCUCCUCUUUGCCCUCUUGGCUUCGGCUUUUCCCUUGCUUGAACCAAACUUCUUGGGCUCCUUGUCUGCUCCAUCGUUUCCCUCGAUGACAGACUUCAUCGGACACUUCCACAACCUAUGCGGACCACGACACAAGAAGCACUCCACUGACUUUUUCUCGCUUUCGGCCUCCUUGCCUUCGACACCCCUUGCACUCAAACCAAGUACCAAGGCCUUACCCACCGACUUCUCCUUAAGCGCGGAUUUCUUCGGACAUUUCUUUAACAUGUGUGGACCGUCGCAAAGAAAGCAUUUCAGCUUGUCCCUUUUCCUCUUGGGUUUCUUCUUCCCAACUCGUGGUUUCCCAUUACCACCAUUGUCGCCAUUGCCAUUGCCAUCAACGAUAUCUUCCUUGUGAUCCAUUUCACAUACGUCCCUUUCCUCAGACUUGGAAGACCCAAGCUUGUCUUUCCCUAGACCAAGCUUGACCACGGACUCAACUACCGUCAUGGCUUCCGACAGCUUUUGGACACCUCUUUGUUCCACCUUCUGUCUGACCCACGGCUUCAAUCCAUUCUAAAAAGCAAGCAAUGCCUCUCUUUCGGUCACCUCUGAAAAUUGGAGCAUGAGUUCCUUAAACUCUUGAACAUACUCCCCCACUGUGCCCCGUUGCGUUAUCCCUUGCAACUUUGCCCGAGCUUCUUCCUCGGUAAACUCUGGGUAAAACUGUCCCUUCAACUCGCAUUGAAACUCUUGCCACGUUCCAAUCUCACUUUGCCUUUUAUCUGUGGUCCUACCUCACCACCAUAAAAGCGCAAUGUCAGUAAGAAACAUUGAAGCAGUAUUUACCUUAUCCGCAUCAUGCACGAUGCCUUUGGUACGGAAGUAGUGUUCUAUCCUCCACAAGAAAUUGUCCACAUCGCAUGCAGACCUUGUCCCUACAAACUCUUUCGGCUUUGGGACAUCCUCGUUACUGAGUGCUGCACUUGACACUCUAUUCCUCGCGGCUGCUCGGCACAAGGCCAGCUCUCCCUCGAGUUCCUCUAUUCUUGUACUCAAAGCCUUCGUCGUGGCCAUUUUUUCCUCUUUCAAAGCCAUCAUCAUGGCCUCGAGAGCAUCGUUUCUCUCCGUCAAUUUCUUCCUUUGGGAAUCUAGCAACUCUCGCACGUUAUCCUUUUGGGAAGUGAGACACGUGGUAACAAAGUCUCUGGACUGCUCCCUCAAGUCAUCAAUGCUUUCCCCAAGCGCAUUGCCUGACGCUUUUGCGUCCUCCAUGAACUCCUCAAGUUUACCCAAGCGUUCCUCAACAGCCGACAACAUCUCCCUCAAAGACUUCCUCGCCCACAUUUGUUCGAACUCUUCUCUCGACAUCCCAACGGUGCCUUUAAACCAACUCGAAUAUCACUUGGUUCAAAACUUGGCUCGGAUACUACUUGUCACGGGGCUAGACCUUUCGUCUCGUAAACCGUGUGGCCUUAGGCAAUCCGUUUGCUCCAAACUCGCCUAAGUCAGCCUUUACGCCCAAAAGUGAGGAUUCCUUAGAACUCCUCCAAGGCACCAAUUUGUAUAGCGGAAGCGAUUGUGCCAAAAGAAGCUACAAUAGAACAACAGAAAGAGCGCUCGCAAAGUGUUUGAGUAAAUGCUCUCAAUUCUCUUAUUCACAAAGAAUAAUGAAACAAUUCAGGAGUGAGUACAAAUGAGGGGGAGGCUCUCUAUUUAUAGUUGAGCUCCCCCAAAAUCGAUGGUCAAGAUACAUUUACAUCGACGGAUGAGAUUUAACCAUAUCCCUUAAUUUUAGGGAUUUACAAGAUAAGCCUUAUCAAAUCUAAUCUAAUAUUUACAAGAUACGAUUCCCUCUAUCUUCUAAGAUUAGUUACCAUAUUAGCCUAAGUUUCCAUCUCUUCAUUAUCAGGCCAACUAGGCUUCAAUCUGACAGGCUUGUCCAAUAGCUAUUUGAAUCGGGCCAGUUCUCGUAGGCCAAAUGAUCCCCAUCUAAGCAAUAGACCUCCAUUGGAUGCAUUUGGUGCGAUGGUCACGGGCUUUAAACUGCGACCCGUGACACUUCUACAUUGACAACAAUAUUUAUACCAGUCGAGCUAUGACUCAAUCGGCAUAAGUUAAUUAUCUUGGUGCUAAAGGAGACAUACUAUAAAACAUGUCCAUAGAACAUAGGCAACAUCCAAGGGAAGCACAAAAAUAUUGAAUAGAUACUUCACUUUGUUUAAAAUUAUCUUAAUGUUAAAUGGAACAAUUUAAUCCAUAUAUUAUUAUAAAAUUAAAUAAAGUGAAAUGGAGUUAGCAUUUACUGUUAAAAAUAUCAUUUAUUAUUUAACGAAUAUAAUAUUUUUAAAGUUUUUAUGGUUCUAUAAAUAAAAUGUUUUGUUUAGAAUUUAAUUGCAAUUGAAAAAAAAUAAGUUUCAAGAUAUUUUUUAUACGGUAAAUGUUAACAUUUUUACAAUUUAGACUUAUUUGGUUCUUUUUUAUAAUAUGAGGAUUAAAUCAAUCCAUUUGAUAAUAAAUGGACUAAUUUGAUGUGAUCUCUAUAAUACAGGGACCUCCUAAGUGCUUUAACCAUUUGGAUAGUCAAGGAAGGCUUGGUAUAGUUAGUUAGCAAAGGCAAGGCCUUGGAUCUUGAGUAUCUAAGUUUAAGACUCACCAUGCACAAUUAAAUCCGUGGGUCUUUGAGUUUCACCAUGAGCAAUUGUUAUGUGUGAGUUUUAGUCUGAUUAGUUCGUAAUAGUUUGAUUAUACGUUUGGUGGUUGCUUGGACAUAUAUUUAUACUUAUACGAUACUUGUGGAUGAAUAUUUGAAUAUAUUUUAUACAAAAUUUAGUUCUAUCCUUAACCCCUUCCUACUUUUAAAUUGAAGGAAAAGACGCACUUAAAUGUGUUUGAAUUCAUAUUCUCCUUAAUUGUUAUAAUUGUAAUUGUGUCAAUUGAAUUAAGACUCAAUCGAGAAAUGAGAUGCCAUUGUUUGCUAUUCUCUAAAAAUGGUGUUAUAUUUGAUAUUGGUUUAAAUUUGGCUGUUACCCUAUACUUGUUAAAAGCUAUAAAUUAAAUCUUUGUAUUUUUAUUUAGUCAUUUUUAAUCUUUGUAUUUUUUAAAAUUUAAAAUUUUAGUCUUCAUCAAAGUGUAAUUGUUAAAUCAAAAGAUAAAUCGAGAGAUAAAAGUAAAUGAAUAAGCUAAUAGCUUUGAAGUGAAAAAUUUUAUCCUUGUAUCUUAAGGGAACUCUUACCUUUGCAUACUUUUAAAAUAAUUUAUUGCCAUAACAAAGACUAUAAUUAAUUAGUAGCUUAGAUUAUAAAAGCGAAGGCAAAGCUAAAAAAACCCUAUAAAAAUGUAUGUGGAUGUUGCGACUACUUUGAAUCCUGGAGAUUUAGUCAUGGGAGGUGUAUGUCGAGAUAAUGUUGGAUCUUGACUAUUUGGAUUUACUGGGAAGUUAGGAUAUGGGCACAACACCAAAGUUGAGUUUUAUGCUAUAUAUAAUGGUCUUCGUCUGGCAUGGGAACAUGGCAUAAGGAAUCUUGUUAUCGAGUCAGACUAACUUGUGGCUAUUAACAAUAUUUUGACCCCUUUGCAACAACAUGAUCCUCUCUCCUUAAUGAUCCAGAUUUGUGAGCUGCGUCAAUGCAAUUGGACUUGUAGUCUUGAUCAUAUUUAUCGUGAAGCUAAUAUGUGUGUGGAUUUUUUUGGUGAGCUGGGCAUUUCAAGGGCCUUUGGUGUAAUUAAGCUGGUUCACCCUCCAAGAAUCUUACCAAGGAUAUCCAAGAGGACAUUAUUGGUGUAACUAGGCCUAGGGCCAUUAUUACUUAAAGAGGUCUUGGACCGCUCCUAUGUACAAAAAAAAAACCCUAUAAAAAUUAGAACCAAUUAAUUUCCCUUUGACUUGUCAAAAAUAAUUGUUUUUUUCAACAUUAAUUAACUGUAAAUUAAAAAGUAUUGAAAAUUAUGAGAUGGCUUUUAGAUUUACCAUAAUUUAUAGUUUUAACAUUUUUUAACAAACAUUUAUACUUUAUUAUUCAAUUAAAAUCUUAUUUAAUAUUUAUAUUAAUUUUUUUAAAAUUUAUAUUAGAUAAUUAUGAAUAUACCAUAAUCUAAUAUAUAUUUUGACCCAAUAGAUAAAAUAUGUUCAAAUAUGCUAAGUCUUUAUAUUCUUUUAAAUUUGGAAUUUAGUUACUGUAGUUUUACUUUUAGAAAUUUAGCCUUUUUACUUUUUAGAUUUUAAAAUUCAAAUCCAACUGUUAACUAGAGGUGCUCAUGGGACUAGUUAGGUCGGGCCUAAGCAUGAUAUUAACAUACUUUAUAUUUGCUUAAACCCAUCCCAACUCAAAAUAUGGGAUUAAACUUUGCCCAAAUCCGUUCAUAUUUGUAAAAAAACUAAGUCAAGUCCAUUUUAGGUCCACCCAUAUUAUUUAAAAAAAAUAUUUAUUUUAUUUAAUUUUAAUAUUUAAUAAUUUUAUUCAUUUUUUAUUUAUUGAAAAUUUUUAUAUAGUCAUAUUAACAUUAUUUUAAUGUUUACAUUAGAGUAGUAUUAUAUAUUUAAUAUAAGUUUCUUUUUUUAAUGUGUUCUAAAUUACAUAAUAUAUAAAAAUAACAUAAUAUAAAGUAUUAUAAACUUAAAAAUGGGUCGGGUCGGGCUGAGCUUGGGCCUUGAAUGUUCAAGCCUGUCCCAUAUUUUAAACGGGCCUUUUUUUACCUAGACUCAUUUUUCGAGCCUAAUAUUUUUGUCUAAACCCUUCCAAAUUUUGGGUGAGCCUUUGAGCCUGGAUAGAUAACUCAGCCCAUGAAUAGGUCUACUGUUAAUACAAUUAUAAUUAAUUUGUUAAAUUCAAGUUCAUUCCAACUUCAUAUUUUUAGUUACAUUAAUACUAAGUGAUUUUUUUUUAUCAAAAUAACACACUAACAAAUUUAAUAACAAAAUUAUAUAAUUAGAAACCCUUUUCACUCUUCUUCUGUGACUGUUAAAGCUUGGGACCAGAACGUCAACGUUUCGUCUAUGUUGAUUGUAUAGGUGGGAAAAAGGCAACAGUGUUGUUGAUGUAUUACCAAUGACCAAAUUGGAUGAGUUUAUGGAAAUGGUGGAAUUAUUUAUAAGGACAUCAAAUAUCAUACCGAUAUUCAAAUUACUUAAGUUUUAAGAAAUGCUAAGAGGAAGAAGGUGGAUUAUUUAUUAGAAUUUGCUUUUGUUGAUCCACUUUGAGAUGAUAAGAUUGGGUUUGGUUGAUUAGAAUUUCAGUGAGGUAGAUGUGUCGGAAUUUGUGUUUUAAGAGGACGAAAUUUUGAAAAUAAGCGAGAGUUGUAGGUGUAAAAACUCGGAGGUUUAUGGAGAUGUUGUUUAAGUGUAUGACUGGGUUGAUAUCAUAAAUUAAUUCGACACCAAUUCAAUUAAUAAAAUUAUUAAAAUAUCAUUUCAUAUUUUAAAUAAAGCAUAUUAUUAUUAAGGAAAAAACCUAAUAAAAAAGUUGCAAAUAUUAAUAUUUGAACUCAUACUUUUAACAUCUAUAAAAUCUUGUCUUUAUCGUUUUAACUAAAGCUUUAUUUUAAUAUUUUUAUACAUUUCAAUGUCAUUACACAUUGUUUCACCCACAUUAUUUGCAUGUUACACAUGUUUUAAAUAUGUUAUUUCUAUAUGUAUACUCGUGUGAUAUAAUUUCUAAUAUAUUUGGGUCUUUAAUGUUGAUUCUCUUUAGCUAGUAAUACUUGGCCAUCGGAUAUCUUGAAUUUCAUCGCUCUUUAAGAUGCAAGUUGCUUAUAUAUAUAAUGAUAUAACAAUUUUAUUUAUUUAUUUUUGUAUAAUUACAUGUAUUUUUACCAGUUUUACGGUCUAAGUUUAAUUUUGUUCAAACUAGUGAUGAUUCUAAGAUUUGAACUCAGUCCGAAUAAUUGGGAAAGAAGUCUACUACUACUUUUUCCUGACCACUUGUUUUUAAAAACAUAUAUUUAAAAUUAAUAUGAGAAAUCAAUACAUAAAAAAAAUAGAAUUAUUUUUAAAUUAGUCUUAAACUUCAAAAUAUUCUAACUACAUCUCUAAACUAUUGAUGUUAUAUCAAUUAGGUCCCUUCAUUAUUAAAUUUGUUAAUUUAACUGUUAAAUGACACGUCAGAAUUUAUCUAACAUAAUUUAAAAUGAAAAUUUUAAGAAAAAUGAAUAUUGCAAAAAUAGAUGUUUGAAAAUCUUAAUUUUAUGGUAUUCAAAACUUUUACAAAAAUUUUACCAUGUACUAUUUUUUCAGUUUACUUUAUUUUUAAUUUUUACUUUUAAAAGUUAUUCAACAACGUUCUAUUUAUUCAUUUUAAAUUUAGCUAUAUAAGAUUUGAUGUAUCAUUUAUCGGUUAAUUUAACAAUUUUAAUAGCGAAAGGACCUAGUUGAUAUAAUAUCAAUAGUUUAGGAAUGUAAUGAGAACAUAUUAAAGUUUAGGGACUAAUUUAAAACAAAAGUCAUAGUCUAGGGAUGUCUGGUGUAAUUAACUUCAAAUAACAUUUUAGAAAAAAAUGAACUAUCUUUAACUCAUAUGAAGCAUUAACUAAAACUCUCAUCAAACUCUUAAGUGGUGCAAGUUUAAAUUAUAUCACAAAAGUUCUUAAAAAUUAAUUUUUUAAUUAUUGAUCCGAUGGAUUGAUUGGAUUUAGAUAACCAUGACCCCUUCCACCGCUAUCAAAAAGAAGAAAUUUGAGCCUGAAGCCCUAAAGGGUUUUCUUGGGCUUCGAGAAGUACAUGCAUUCCUUGUCUAAAUCGGGCCUAACGAGUUCAUAAGAAAUAAAUCGGUGGAUGAUUUGAGAUUUGACAUAAGAAGAGAUUCGUAGAAGUGGGGAAAGUUCUAACAGAAUUCCCACUGCUUCCAAACCCAAAAUUUUUAAUUUUUUUCUGGGAAUGUGCAGUUCAAGAUAAGAUAGCUUUACACGUUUCCCAAUUCAGCAAUCCAUUUCUGCAACCAAAAACACAAAACACUCCAUCAAUUUAUAAACUCGAAGCAAUUUGAAGAAAUCCCAUCACUCAUUUCACCUCCAAUCCUUUUAAAAACAGGGCAUUCAAUAUGCAGGAGACCAAUAAUUCUCGAGUCAACCAACGAAUUGCAACAAUCUCGGCUCAUCUCAACCCACCCAGUUUUUCCCACAUGGAGGGUAGUUCGGGUUUGGGUCGAGCUGACUGCCGAGCCGAAGGUGGGUCAACUGGUUUCAAGGUGGCGAUUUUGGGAGCGGCAGGUGGGAUAGGGCAACCGUUAUCAUUGUUGAUGAAGAUGAACCCUUUGGUUUCUGUUCUUCAUCUUUAUGAUGUGGUUAACACUCCUGGUGUUACUGCUGAUAUUAGCCACAUGGAUACUGGAGCUGUGGUAUGCUAGUGUUUUUCAAGUUCCCUUUUACGUAAGAAUUUCUUUAUUGAUUGAAAAUUGAAAUCCAUAUAUAAGUUCUAAUUAGUGGUGGAAAUGGAAUUGGUAGACUUAAGAGUAUUUCUGGGUUGUUCUUGCUUGUUGAGUUGAAUUUCAUGUUGUUGAAUGGGAAUCAAGAUAGAAUUAUGAUCAAGCUGUAGUUAAGAUAACAAAGCAUCAAAAUUCAACCUUGAAACCAAUAGGCAAUGAAGCUGACAACUUUACCCCACAAGUUUUAUGCUUGAUUAAUAUAAUCCAUAUAUAAGAAUUAUGGUUUUUCUUAGUAAUGUUGUUGAAUUUUUUAGGUUCGUGGAUUUCUGGGGCAACAGCAAUUGGAGGAGGCUCUAACAGGAAUGGACCUUGUAAUUAUUCCAGCUGGAGUUCCUAGGAAACCUGGAAUGACAAGGGAUGAUCUUUUCAACAUCAAUGCUGGAAUUGUUAAGACACUGUGUGAGGGAAUAGCUAAGUGCUGUCCCAAUGCUAUUGUCAAUUUGAUUAGUAAUCCUGUUAAUUCCACCGUUCCGAUCGCCGCAGAAGUUUUCAAGAAAGCUGGCACCUUUGAUCCAAACCGACUUCUGGGAGUCACAAUGCUUGAUGUUGUGAGAGCCAAUACGUUUGUGGUAACUACAAAACUUGCCAUUGGUUUAUCAUUCUUUGUUGUUAAUUAGCCAACUCUGGAUUUUCCCACACAACGUUGAAUAGGUUUCCUUUGUAUGGUAAUCAUAAUGCUUGCCUUUAAUGUAUUUUCUUCUUCACUGGUAAUGAACCAAAUCUGGAUUCUGAUAGACAUUGAUGGAUCUGUUUUUUUCCAAAAUAGUAUAUGUAUCGUAUAUGCCUAUAAUGGAAACUGUAUAAUCUAUGGUGGGAUAAACUGUUACUAAUGUUCAUUUCUGAUGUUCUCUUGUAAUUUUUGCCCUCAUUAGUUUGGUUUCUUUAUAGGCGGAAGUCAUGGGUCUUGAUCCGCGGGAGGUUGAUGUUCCAGUUAUUGGGGGACAUGCAGGGGUUACUAUUUUACCUCUUCUAUCUCAGGUUGAAAAGUACUUGUUUUCAAUUCAAACAAUUUUGUAUUAAAAAGAACAUUCUAUGUAAGAGCUCACCGUUCCCUUUAUACAGGUUAAGCCUCCAUGCUCUUUCACCCAAAAAGAAAUCGAUUAUCUGACAAACCGCAUUCAGAAUGGUGGUACAGAAGUCGUUGAGGUAAAGCAUUUAUGUUUUGAUUUCUAGACUGAAAACUCCGAUAGCUGGAAACCUUAUGGUGAACUAAAAGUAAUCAAAUCUAUGGGACUUAUGUUAGUUCAGACAAAAUGUUGAGCAAAUCACAAUUUUGCACCUGUAGAGCACAUCUGGCUAAUAUACCUCAAAAGUACACUAUGAUCCAUGGGACUCAUGUUAGUUAAGUCAAGCUGACUAUGCUGCACGGUUCCCUUAGUUUUACCAACAUAUUCACUUGUUGUUCAUGUUAGAAUGCACCAUCAUUCCUUGGUUCUUGAAAACUUAUUUGAUAUGUUCUUGCAUAUUGUUACCGUCAUGGUGUUUACAUGCUGGACGGCUGGUGAGUAAUCAUAAUUUGUAACUUCUUGCAGGCAAAGGCUGGUGCUGGGUCUGCAACAUUAUCGAUGGUUAGUUACUUCUCUCUCUCUCUCUCCACCACUAAGUACUGAUUUUGUUUGUUCCUAUGUAAGACAUGGUUUUAGGCUAUAGGCUGGUUCUGAAUGCAUAUUGAAACACAUAAACAAAAGUGCAGGCAUAUGCUGCGGUUCAAUUUGCCGAUGCAUGUCUUCGGGGCUUAAGAGGAGAUGCUGACAUUGUUCGAUGUGCAUUUGUGGCUUCUCAUGUAUGUUAUCUGUGUCUUUACAGUAAAAGCUCUCCCUGUUGCGCCGUCCCCCUUCCUUAUUCUUUCUUUUAAGCUUAUAGUAACGACUAAUACACUUCCUUCUAGGUGACUGAAUUGCCCUUCUUCGCAUCCAAGGUAAGACUCGGUCGUUGCGGAGUUGAGGAAAUAUACCCUCUUGGCCCACUAAAUGAGUAUGAGAGGUAUGCGUUUCGAACUAACAUGCAAUAUAUAUAAUUUGUCCCUAUCUAAAUUUAACAUAAAUGAUAAUCAACAGGGUUGGCUUGGAGAAGGCGAAGAAAGAACUAGAAACUAGCAUUGAGAAGGGGGUUGCCUUUGUCAAGAAAUGAAUAGGUACUCCAAUACCCCCAAAUCUACCUUUUCUCUGAUAACCAAAGUUUGUAAGAAUAAGGGGUAACUCUCCUCUUUUGUUCUACAUAAACCCUUAGUCAUGGGGUUCCUAGAUGUGACCCAACAUGGCAAAUAUGGACCAUGGUAAAAGAUUCAUGUAAUAAAUAGAAGAAAUGGUUUGUAAACUUUUCAUUUAUUUCAUUUCUUAUUCUAAUAUAAUCAAACAGAAUAAGUUAAAUCGAGCAAAGCGUCCCUUACACUCGGAGCACGGAAUGUUAGUUGGUUGAGUCUCUCCUGAAAUACUCAAACCUAUUCCGUGUUACUCAAUUGAUAGUUAUGCUCUCAUCAAAUCAAGGGGUGCUUAAAUCCUUUGGUUCUAAAUGUAAACAGCCUGUCUGCUUGGAUUAUUCUUCAGCAGUAAACUCCAGCCAUUACUGCCCUUUCACCUUGGUGAAAAAUCUUGGUCCUUUACUGCUCUACAUAGCCAAGCCAAGAAGUAACUGGGGUGAGUCAACAUCCUAUAUGCUUUGGGCCUGAAAUUUCUAAAACAUAAAUGAACCAAUCAAAUGGGGGUAUUCUGUCCAAUUUUUGGCACAUUUUUUGGCCCAUAUGUAAACUAAGAGUUUACUUGCAUGUUUCAUUUUUUACUUUCUUUUAAUCCUUUUUUUAAUUAAAAAGCUGAGAAAGAUUCUAAAUUUACAAGCUUAACCAAACAUAAAUGAUUACCUCUUUUGCAAAACAAAUGUAAAAAGCCCCUUUUCUUCAGUUCUUUAUCUAAGAAAAGAAGACAAAAGAAAAAAGAGAAUAAGGGCUACGUGAGUGCCAGAAAUUGCUCUGCCUUUCCUAGUAGGAUGCCAUAUAAAAGCUCACAUGAUAGCUAUUUGCAUUUAGUGCUACUUUAUUUAUUUUUGAAGCUUUGAUUCUAAUGGUUUCUACGAAUAUAUUAUUAAUAUAAAUUUCUUUCCUCAAAUUUCAUAGUGAAUUCUUAAGAUUGUCAUGUCUCUAUUUAGUAUGAUUGUAAUUGUUUGAUACCAUUUUAACAAGAUAAUGCUUCUAAUUAUAUAGUAAGAACCAAAGAUUAAGUUGAAGUAAUUAAUAGGAAUCUAUAAAGAUGGCCCCAUGAAACAUUACAUUGUUCUUUUUAUUUUUUAAUUUGUUUCAUCAAGUUUAUUCCUUUUUCAAAUUCACUGCCAAAAGGUAUUCUUUUUUCUACCCCACAAGUUUUUCCAUGAAAAUAUCUGUUACAUUAUCUGUUAAUGUAUAUUUUUUUUAUGAAAUUUACCUUUUUCGAUCUUUUUACUGAAAAGUACGAGGGGAGCAGGUUUGAAAUACUAUAUAUAAAUUAAACUAGUGGAGUGGACUUAAGGUUUAAAAGUUACUUUAAUGGAAUAUCAUCCAUGUAAUAUAUGAACUAUAUUGAAGAUAAAGUAUUUCCCCCCUGCCCCCACAUCCUUUUUAGACACACUAAGUUAUUCUUUAUAUGAUAUUGUACACAAAUUAUCACAUUAUUUAAUUUUCCAUAAUCUUAUAUUAAUCUUAUUUCUAAUUCCUAAACACAUGCAUAUGCUUCUUAAUAUUGCACUAUAGGCCAAACUUUGUUUUCUAGAUAUGCUAGACAGGUUUGAGCUAAAGUCCACUUAAUGCAAUUUUCUUUCUUUCCUUUUUCAUUCUCCUUUUACAGUCUAUUUUGUUCACUAGAGUAGGGUUCCACUUUUCUCUUUGUUGAUUUUUCAAAAGUUAUGAACGUGAAAGGUCUUGUCAUGUCUAUCCUUUUGUUUUUCUUUUCUUUUAUGUGUGUGUGUGUGAUUUGCAGUGAAACAGUGUCUUAAUUAUUGGAUGGAAAGUGGGAGUGGUUAUUUUUAGGGGAGGCCAGCAAUCAAUCUAUCCAUGCAUAUGUGUGUUUCUUUAAUAAGUACAAGUAAAUUAGUGCAUUUUGAAUAAUUAUCAGUAAAACUAAUCACUAUAAUGCACUGUUGAGAAUUUACUACUUGAACAUAGAUAUCAAAGACCUUAUGAUUUCAAUCUUGUAGGUAAGUUAAAGUACUUGUACAUUACAAAUUCAUGGAGAGAAUAUUGUUAUAAAAAGGAGCAAUAUAUAAUUUGGUACUUGUGUUUUUUCUUUUUUAAUCUAUUAUUUGUAUUUGAUAAAUAUUUUGGUACUUAAAGAUAAUGGUGUAACUUAUUAGUGUUCAAUUUAGGUUUUAGGGUUGAUUUGAUGAAAGGUAAUUGGUAUUAUUAUUAGGUUUGAAUUUUUCAUGAUUUUGUUAAUAGAAUAAGUUUAGUAUUAAUUGUGAAUGUGCAUGUGAUUUAUCUCGAAUUUUAGGGUUGAUGUGAUAAAUGCUAAUUGCUAAUAUUAUUAGCUAAUUUUAAAUUUUCAUCAAAUCAGCUAUGAAACUCGAAUUAAACACAAAAUUAAUGUUGUUACUUUCAGGUAUCAAAAUGUAUAACUUUUGUCAAAUGUGGGUACCACAUUGGAUCAAAAAAUGAUGAGUACCACAUUAGACAAAAGAUAUCAAACUUCAGUACCAAUUCAUGUAUUAAUAUCAAUUAUGAUCUUUAUUUAACGAUUUCAAACUUUUAGAGAUCUCGUUCAAAUUUAAACUUGCUAAAUUUAAGCUCAAAUAAAAAUUUUAUUUAUGUUAUUUAAGAUAUAUUAAGAUAUAGGUGAGAAUAUGGAUAAGCACAAUAAAUUAGCUUAAGGAAUGGUAUAUUCAUUGUACCUAAAAAGUUGGGGAAGUAACCAAGAGAACCACAAAUGAUGAAAGAACAAAAUAAUAGCAAUAAAUGAAGGCAUGUGGGCAUUGGCCUAGAAUGGUACCCCAAAUUAAUUGAUGAAAAAAGAAUUAAAUGAAAUUUUAUAUCAUAAAUUCUUAAAUGAGGCUAAAGAUGUCAGAAAACCCUAACUUCAAUGUCACAAAAUUUAAAGCCAGAUGCUGAAAAAAAAAACAUGGGUUCCCACAAACAUCUAUGUUUGUUGUAUUAAUCAAGUCCUUUACCUACAUUGUGGACUUUAGCUUUUUCUUCCCCUAAUUUCAGCUUUUAUUGCAGUUUGUACCAAUUUUUUCAUUCCAAAACCAAUAUAGCUCUUUGCCUCUUAAUUCUCUAUAGCCCCUAACAUGGACUACAUACAUAUAUAUACAUAAACCCUAGUUGCUCUCAUUUUUAAUUUGUUUGUACCUCAAUUAUUUUUAUAAAAACAUAACAAGUAUUUACUGAUGAUGUAUGUUAAUAUGGUUGAAUUUGGUAUUGAGAGGGCUGAAAUAAGAUUAGGAAUUUUGAGGGAGAAAGUUCAAAGUUUUAUUUUAAAAUGUUUUAAAUCGAAUUAUUAAUAAUUGGGAGGAUCAAAACUGCUAUUAUUUCAUUUAAUCAAGGGGUUGAGGCUUUUAUCUGUCCCUAGCUAAGCUCUUGUUGAUAGUAUAUAAAUUUACUCAUUACCAAAGUAUCAAAUACAAACCCUUUUUUUUACGUUUAUUCACUAAAUUUUAAAAAGUUACGACUUUAAAAACAUAACCCUAAAUUUUUUUGUUCUCUAAGUAAAAAAAAUGAUGAGUAAAAAAAGAAAAAGAGAGAAAUAUAUAUCCUAAUAAUUGGAUAAGAUAGGGGCAAAUCAAAAUAAACAUUGGAUCCCCAUAAUUGAAGAAUGGCAUAUAUUAGUGGGAAAUUAUGGUGUCCCAAUUCAUUUUUAAUCUGAUGAGUGCUCACCAUUGCUAAAGAUAGUAUUGGAAGGCAAAAAAGAAAAGGAAGAUGGAGACAACACACAUGGAUUUUUUCACAGCUUUCAUCUUACAUCAUUUAGUCUUAAAAUAUCACAACAAAAUAAUUAUUUUUUCCAAUCCUUUUUUUUUUUUAUCAUCGUUUGAAUUUUAAUCUAUAAUCUAUAGUCUUAGAAGGAGGCAGUACUGGAUCCCAAUGUAAGAAAAUAAAGACAAGAUCGAAGUUGCUAAGAAAAAAACCAGUCCUUUUGCUGGGUUGGGUGCCCUCACCCCUGUCGGAUGCAUGCACAUGAAAAUUAUUUCGACUUAAUUUACGUUACGAGAAAGAAAAUGGGUUAGCAGAUAUCAAUCCUUACGAGCAAAAUUAAAGGAAUUGUAUUAAGGAGUCAAAGUGCAAUUUUACUUAUGUCUUUAUUAACUUUCAAGUAUUUGAGUUAUCGAAUAUUAUUUUUGAAAAGAAUAUAUAUGAAUUAAUUAAAUUAAAAUUUGAAUGAUAUUUUUUUUUGAAAUUUAUAUUUAUUUAAUGCAAUUGAUUGUUGAUAGUAUGCAAUUAAAAUCCCUAUUCACAAGAAUCCUGAAACACAUGCAUCCCAUAUUAUUCCACCUUAUCAUAUUUACCUCAUUUUUCUGCUCUCCAUUCCAUAUAUUUUGUCCUUUCUAUUUGUUUUUUUUUCUCUUUUUCAUUUAAUAUUUUCUCACUUCCUCAUCAAUCAUUGAGCAAUAAUAAUAAAAUCUAUUUUCUUUUGAAUUUUUCUUCUUUGUUAAGGUUUCUACUAUUCGACCGCAAUCAUUGAACAUUCCCUUCACAAGAAAAAAGAAAUAAAUUUUAUAAAAAAAAUAUUUAUGUAGUUAAUAAUCUCUUUAUAUAUAUAUAUACAUAUACAUUUCAAUUCUCUUGAAUAAAUAUGUGCGGGUCUAUUCAGAUUUGUUUUGGUUUAGGCGUGGAUAUAUAUUUCGAUUAUCAAUUUUUUUAUUUAUACAUUGCAGGCUCGUUCUUGAUAUUUUUGGAGCUCUAAGUAAAACAAUAAAAUGAAAGGUAUGUUAAUUGUGAAUGUAGAUAAAAGAAUGAAAAAUGGAAGGUGAAGAUAAUGUUGGUUUAAAGUGACAUGUUGAGUAGGUUGUAUUAGGUUUUGAACAUUGAUGUCCACUCAUUAAGUUGCCAAUUAUUUAGUGGUUAACCCUACAUUCAAUGUGCUAAAUUGCCUAAUUCAAACCCAAACCGACAGUAUAAGAUCCUUGAAUAGAUAUCUAAGGACCCCCCAAAAAAAUUACAACUUUGUACCUUUAACAUAUAAGAAGAUCUAUGGAAGGACCGAUUAGUGAUAUAAUUUAUUAUUUGAGGGCUUUUCUUUUUUGUCCUUCUUGUUGUAUUUUCCCUUCACCUGUCAAGAACCCUAAAUGAGAAGGGACCAUAUGCUCACAUUUAUGCAACAUCAGAAGGGGAAACCAGAGAAAUUUUGAAUCACAAAAGUGACAAAACAUGCAAAAGCACAUGUAUGAAAGGAAGUGGGAGAUGAAUUUCGAGUUUAUUUUUUGAUAUUUCGUGCAAUCACUUUUAAAAGAAAAUAUCUAAUAGGCCUAAAAUUCGAGUUUAAGCAUAUAUGAUAACUCUGUCUCCUUAUUUGCGUAGUAAAUGGUCAAAUUAUGAUUUUAGUUCUUUUAUUAUGCUCAAAUUUAGUUUAUCAUUAAUUAAUCUAAGUAGUUAAAUCAUGUUUAGCUGUUUCAAUUAAAAUGUUGAUUUGGAUAGAUUAUAUAGCAAAAUCCCACCAACUUUGCCACAAAUGGUGAAGGCUUUAUUAAAUGUUAGCUUUCCUCUUUGAAUGGGGCAUAUGAGGUAGUAUCAUGCCACUACUAUGAAAUUAAAAUUGAAGUCCUUCAACUUCAAGUCAUUGGGUGGGUCUCCAAUGUUACAAAAAUAGGGUCAUCCUGCCCUUUGGAUUUUGGACAAUAUUAUAGGUAUAUAGCUUAAUAUUAUUAUGUUGGAGUGGACAUUCAUUAAUAAUAACAAACAAAACAUAAAUAAUAAUAUGCAUAGUUUUCACAUUUUUUUUAUAUUUCAUAAAAAUUUUAAUGAUAGUUUCAAUUUUUCAUUUUUUUAUUAACUAAAUAUAUAUUUUAUUAUUAGUUUUAGUGCAGGUUUGGAUAAACGGUAUAGUGUGUUUAAUUUACUUUUUGUCUCAAACUAUAAUAUUUAAUUUCACCAUCACCGUUAUUUUUAUAUUAACUACAAGUAAAUGCACCGCGUAUCCAAACUCACCCUUAACUUUACUAUUCCGAUCACAACUUCCCUCAUAGAAAGGAAAGGAAAAGGAAAUUAAAAAAGAAAUAUGAAUGAUGAAAGCAAAAAAAAAAAAAAAAAUAAAGAAAGAAAGAAAGGUACUUCCUAAUUAAAAAACAAUAUAAUGUCAAAUUAUUUUCUUUAAAAAAUUGUCAAUCAGAAUGUCCGACAACAUAUUGACAUGCUUUGGAUUUAAAAUUUCAAACAAUAAUGCAUGGUCGAAAAUAGAAUAAAUUAUUUUACGUGAAAAAAAAUAUUUUUAAAAUUUUAAAAUACAUUACAUUGUUUUUUAAAUAUAAUUUUUGUGAAACUUUUUAAGUAAAUUUAUUGAUUGUGCAUUAUACCAAUUGAUUAUUUUAAUAUAGUUCAAAUAAAUGUUUAAUUCUGUUCAAAAUUUUUCUACUUCCGCACUUUUGAAAUUUAGUCCAUUUACUUUUUAAUCCUCGAGAAUUUAGUGUUUUUUCUCUUUUGAUUUAAUAAUUGAGAUCAAAUUGAAUAUCGAUAAUACAAUCAUUUGAAUUAGAUUAUUUGGUAUUUUCAAAAUGAAAAAAAUUACUCACGUGGUCGAUAUUACACGCAUGGAAAGUUAAUAAGCAAAUAAAAAGGUUAAAUCUAGGGUUAUAGGAUUUUUGUUUCAAAAUUUGAGGUUAUAAAAUUCUUUAGUAAUGUUUCUAAGAAGCAUAGUAAAAGUCGAUACUUUUGUUUUUUAUUUUAAAAAAAUACCACAAAACUUAUUAAUUGUGUUAUUAUUUGAACUUCAGCUAUUGAAUAACAAAUGAACUAUUUUUUUAAAGUUAAAAAUAGAGAGAUUCAAUUUUAUUAAAAAAAAACACGGGUUGCAAAAUUCAACCAUAAAUAAAUAUUGAAUUUAUAUUAGAGUAAAUUAAAUGUCACUAAACUAUUAGUAAGUUCUCUUAAUAAGUUGAAGUGUUAAAAAGAAUAACUAUUAGUAAGUUACGUUUUCGUCACUCAACUUCAAAAGUUACAAAAUGAUCACUAAAUUAUUCGAAAGUUUUCAUUUAAGUUACCGGACUGUUAAAUUCGUCGUUCUAUGGUUUUCUCUAUUAACAUCGUCUACACCAAUUGAAAUAUCUUUUUUUCUUCUUUUUUUUCUCUAGUUUAGUUUUUUUUAAUAAAAUAACUUUGAAUGUCAUAAAUUUACAAAUUAAAAUUCAAAUAUCUUUCUUCUUUGAUCUUCGACAUUAACCAUCAUACCAACUUAAAUCUAAAAUAUAUUGUUGACACUGUUUUUUAGGAUGAAAAAUGGGGUUGACUUGGGUUUUGAAAAAAAAGAAACGGGAGUCGCCACCAAUCCUCUUUUUUUUAUGAGGUGCGAUUGGAUUACCUCAAAGAGGGGUUGUUUUUAAUAAACGGUUUGAUUUUAUUAAAACAACAAGUUUGGUCCACGAAAUUUAGAAAAACGGGUUCGGGAGUCGGUUACGCACGAGGAAGGAUUAGCACCCUCGAUACGCCCAAAAUUGGUACCUAGUUGAUUACUUAAUGUCUUAAUGUCAAAAAUUGAGAACCUUGAAGAAUUUUAAAAAUACGACCCUUGUAUUAAAACGUUGAAAAUUUUCAGGAAAAAGGGGAUAUUUCACGUUAUUCGAGAAAGAGAAUCAUAUCUAGUAAGUUAGGAUACAAUGUCUCAAAUUCCCGAUACGCGGAUGAAAAAUGCUUAUUUAAAAGAUAUUUUAUUAUCUUGGUUUUAGAAAUAAAUCAGGCCCAGUAAGUUAGGGCACGAUCUUUUCUUAAUUCCCGAGAUCGUUUAAAAACUUGAGUUUGAAAAGAUUCGUGUAUUUAGAUUUAUUAUGAAAAUCGAAACCCAGUAAGUUAGAGUACGAUCCUUUCGAAUCUAAACACGAAAUAUUUUUAAAACAAAUUUUGUUAUAUCGAGUAAAAUAAAACACGAAAAUCGUAAUAAAAAAUGUGAAAGCAAAUUACAUUGUUGUUAUACGUGGUAAAAUCAUAAUACACAUAAAAAUAAAAAAUAAUACGAGCAAUAGCAACAAUAAAUAUCUUUUAAAUAAGCAUUUUUCAUCCGCGUAUCGGGAAUUUGAGACAUUGUGUCCUAACUUACCAGAUAUGAUUCUCUUUCUCGAAUAACGUAAAAUAUCCCAUUUUUCCUGAAAAUUUUCAACGUUUUAAUACAAGGGUCGUAUUUUUAAAAUUCUUCAAGGUUCUCAAUUUUUGACAUUAAGACAUUAAGUAAUCAACUAGGUACCAAUUUUGGGCGUAUCGAGGGUGCUAAUCCUUCCUCGUGCGUAACCGACUCCCGAACCCGUUUUUCUAAAUUUCAUGGACCAAACUUGUUGUUUUAAUAAAAUCAAACCGUUUAUUAAAAACAACCCCUCUUUGAGGUAAUCCAAUCGCACCUCAUAAAAAAAAGAGGAUUGGUGGCGACUCCCGUUUCUUUUUUUUCAAAACCCAAGUCAACCCCAUUUUUCAUCCUAAAAAACAGUGUCAACAGCUUGGCGACUCCACUGGGGACUACGAUAAGAGGGUCAAACCACGUGGUGAUUACUUUUUGUCUUUUGUCAAAAAUUGAAAAUUCGGUUUAAAAUUACGAUCCUUUCAUCGCAUUUUAUCUGUCUUUAUCAUAAUCAUCACCAUUGGGGUUUAUAUUUGCUCUGUUUGUUUAAAUUUUGGUAUCUUUCCGCAUUGCAUUGCAUGACCGUUGGUCACACCUUUAAGUGGGAGUGAGAAGCUACGCCUUCGUGAGGUUUUCACCUCCGCAUGGGAUAGUGAAUCGCUUUCGGGAUAUAUCCGUACCUAUGUCUUCGUGAGAUUUUCAUCUCCGCAUGGCCAUAGGGAAAUGUAUCCCCCUGAAUCGAACUUGGUCCGUAUGAGCCUAUAAUGGGUGAGGAUCGAGGAAUUUGCUGGUUCAGGUACCCUACUUUAGAACCAAACCACAUGUAAUGAGCCAUAGGAACUGACCUAGGUAGAGCUACUCCAAAUUUUUAGUGCUUACCUAAAUGAAUGUUGUUUUUAUUGUCGCUUAUUUUAAAUCUUAUUCUGUGUUUAAUGCUAAUUUACUUUGUGUGUGAUUGCAUGGCAUCUUCAUUCUAAAAGAGGUAUCGAUUUACGUUCAGUUUCUUGGUAGAAAGCUUAUAAUGGAAAAGGGGUUUGUUGAUAAAGUAGAGGAUAAUGUGGCUGUGCGAAUGUGGGCUGAAACGACACAACGGGAGAAAGGCGAUAGUCUUACCGAAGGGUACGUGUCAGAAUUGUGGGAUUUUACCCGUAUCAGUGUAAUCCAGAAUGACCUUCGAGAAAUGAAAGAAGUCUGGGAUCAAUGGGAUGUCGAGGCCAAGCAGCUGUUCUAUUGUAACUACGGUGACCUACCUUAUCUGCUUAGUGUCAAAGUGGACAAGUAUUUAUUCCGAGCCCUUGCUCAGUUUUGGAAUCCUGCCUACAGUUGUUUCACUUUUGGGAAGGUAGAUUUGACGCCUACUGUGGAGGAGUAUACGACCUUGCUUCGGUGCCCAAAGAUUCAAGUCGACAAGGCUUAUUCCAGAGCUGCUUGUGUCCCUCCGUUGUUAAAGAAAUUAAUGAACAUCACUGGAAUGAGCGAGCAGUGGGUCGCAGCCCGGAUCCAACAGAAGGGCGACAGUAAAUGUGUUCCUUGGAAAAGUUUGUGAGAUUUGGUACUGGUACAUCCUGACUUAAAGAAAAGGGUCGAUGUCUUCGCUUUAGGUAUCUAUGGACUAGUGGUUUUCCCCAAAGCUUUAGGACACAUAGACGAGGCUGUAUCUGAUUUGUUUGAUCGGCUUAGUAAAGGGGUUACACCGGUUCCGGCAAUACUCGCUGAAACUUUUAGAUCCUUGAAUGCGUGUCGAAAAGCAGGGGAGGGAAGGUUUAUUGGAUGCGCGCAGCUCUUAUUAGCAUGGUUCCAUAGCCACUUCUGGAAAGUCGAAAAGGUCUCUUAUCGGGUAUUCUCUGAUAACUACUCCCCUCUAGGAGAAUUGGUGGCCACGCCAAGACGGGAUGAUCUUUCAGAAGAAAAAUGGAUAGAGAUACUCCAGAAUCUCCACGAUGAAAAUAUUGAAUGGAGGGCUCCUUGGUUAAUUCCUGAUGAGAUAUUGUACCGAUGUGGAGAUUUUGACUGGGUUCCGCUGCUCGGGAUAUGGGGAACUAUCGGAUAUGCUCCUCUACUCGUAUCAAGACAGUAUAGAUCACGACAAUUCAUACCAGCAACGCAGGGGUUGGCCUAUUGUGAUUUUUCCUAUAGGGAGGACAACUACAAGAAGAAGGUUCGAAAAAUAUCUAGUGCCUGGAACCAGACUCGUCGAAUGAAGAUCUUAGCCGUAGGUCCGACAAUUACCCCCGAGUAUAGUCAGUGGCGUGAUCAAAGGAUCAACGACAACAUCCCGGCGUCAAAUUCAGAAACUGCUCGAUCUUUAGAGGAACACUUACAAGUUUUGCCUUCUGAGAUAGAAAUCAUCAAACAAGAAUUUGAAAAAAGGAGUUUAGAAUUGGGGAAGAAGAUAGAACAACUAGAGGAAGAAAAAAUGCAGUUAGGACUGGAUGUGGACAUUCAAAGAUUAGAGGCCGAUAAAUUGAGAAAAGGAAAGAACAAUGCAGAAGAAGAUUUGGACAGCCUGAAGACAGAUUACAAGAAGUUGCGUAGGUCGGUAAGAGCUGCUGGCUUGGGUAAAACGCCAGAACAAUGGCGACAAGAAAUUCAGGAGGAAAAGACGAAAGCUAAUCAAUGGGAAAAGAAAUUUCAGGAUACUCGGGCUCGGGAAGUCGCCUUGCGAAAGAGUCUACUAGUUUGCCAAGACGAGAAGACGGAGUUGAAGGUUCGGAUAACUGAACUAGAAAGAUCGCUUCACCAGUACUGUAAUCGUAAUGUUACGGUUGAAUUAAGGGCGAGCUUAGACAAGAUUGAAGAAUUAAAAGGACAAAUAGGAGGGCUAGAGAAUGCAUUGCAAAAUAGUGAAAUCCAGAUAGAGCUUCUGGAAGAAAAUAAUGAGCAGUGGCAAAGACAAUUCUGUCGGUCUCAAGAGCAGAUUAGAGAAAGAGAUUAUAUUAUGGGAGAGGCGGUGAAUCAAGUACGCGAAGUAGCUGAUCAUCUGCAAACUCUAGCGGUUCAGGCUGAUCUAUUAAGUUUGAAGUAUGAGUCAGAGUCAGACAGGGGCCGAGAAUUAGCUUGGCUUCUUAGAAAGGUUAAGGCUUUGAGUGUAAGGGCAAAGCCAUAUAUGUAGUCUAUUUUAUGUAAAGAAACUCUUUAUCUAGUAAAGUUUUCUAAUGAAGUUGAAUUAGAAUCAGUGCCUCUUUUUCUUUGCAUUCUUUUCAUGCAUUGCAUCACAUCAUAUGCAUUAAUGACCAUUAAAAACCUAAUCGAAUAAAAUCAUUUCAGUUAACCUGGAAAACCAACAAAGUUACGGCACCCGAGCUAAGACAAAAAUUAUGGACCAAAGGUUGGAGAAGCUAGAGCGACUUCAAAAAGAAAUGCAAGACCAGUUGCAGGCACAAAUGAAAGAGCAAAUAGAAAAGAUUCAGCGUGACAUGGUGCGAAAGAUGGAGGAGUCCCAAAACGAUCUGGUGGCUAAGAUGACGCAAUUAUUGAAGGGAAUAGAUAGGGGUAAAAGUCCUGUGAUUGUUAGUGAAGAAGAAAACAAUGGGGAACCACUUUAUCCUCCAGGUUUCACGCCUCCGCAUGCGCAAGUACAGACUGAGCUGCAUCCGCGGAGACCCUCUGUGUCGGUUAGGCCUCAGCAGUUCCAAGGCGAUGCUUCAAUCCCAAUGAAUUUUCAACCCGGAGCGGGCUUUAAUCCCGGUGAUAGCCCGAAUAAUAUUGCUGUCCCAGAUCUUGACGAGAUGGUUGAAAAGGACAAGGCGAAGGAGGAAUUUCCAAAACAAUUUGAGGAGAAAUGGAAAUGGAUAGAAGAGAAGUUUAGGGCAAUAGAAAGCAUCGAAAGCUAUGGAAUAGAUGCAAAAGAUCUGAGCUUGGUUCCGAACUUGGUGCUCCCUUACAAAUUUAAGAUGCCGGAAUUUGAGAAAUACAACAGGACUAGUUGUCCAGGAUCCCAUAUUACUAUGUUUUGUAGAAGAAUGACGGGGCAUAUUAAUAAUGAUCAAUUAUUAAUACAUUGUUUUCAGGAAAGUCUUACGGGAGCGGCGUCAAAGUGGUACAAUCAGCUGAGCCGAGCUAAAAUUGCUACUUGGAGGGAUUUAGCACAGGCUUUCCUGAGACAAUACAAUCAUGUCUCAGAAAUGAUGCCUGAUAGGAUAACUCUGCAAAAUUUAGAGAAGAAAUCGAACGAAAGCUUUAGACAAUAUGCGCAGAGGUGGCGAGAGGUGGCGGUUCAGGUGCAACCACCGCUUUUGGAAAAAGAGAUGACGACGCUUUUUAUUAAUACUUUGAAAGCCCUGUUCAUCACUCACAUGUUGGGAAGCGCUUCAAAAAAUUUCUCGGAUAUAAUCAUGAAUGGUGAAAUGAUUGAGCAUGCCAUUAAAAGUGGAAAAAUAGAUGGAGGAGAAAAUAAUAGGAGGGCACCCCCGAGGAAAAGAGAAAAUGAAGUGAAUAAUGUGAAUGCUUAUGGUAGGUCAAUUACCGUGAAUCAACCAAAGAAAGUGGUUGCUAAUCAACAAGGAUCAUCAAGACAAGAGUCGGGAGCUAGGCAAACUACUGAAAAGCCCCAAUUCACGCCAAUCCCGAUGUCAUACAAGGAGUUGUAUCAGACUUUAUUCGAUGCACAUGUUGUUGCUCCCCGUUACUUGAAUCCUCUACAACCCCCGUAUCCAAAAUGGUAUGAUAUGAACGCGCAAUGUGAUUAUCAUGCGGGAAUUUCUGGGCACUCGAUAGAAAAUUAUACUGCCUUCAAGAAGGUAGUAGAAGGACUUAUCAAUUUAGGUGUCGUCAAACUUGACGACUCACCUAACGCAAAGAAUCCGUUACCUAAUCACGCAGAUAAGGGGAUGAAUAUGGUUAGCGAAGGUACGGGAGAAGAAGUCAAGACUGACAUUGCUGAAGUAAAAACUCCAUUGAAACGGGUCUGGAAAGAAAUGGCGAAAAGAGGGUUGGUUAUUUCAGAUUCUGAGGAAGGGCAUGAGAUGGGAAAUUAUUGUGAAUUUCACCAUAAAACAGGGCAUGAAAUCCAAGAAUGUGAAGGAUUCAAGGCUUUGGUUCAAAGCAUGAUGGAUAACAAGGAGAUGAGGUUUUAUGAAGAUGCGAGAGAAAUGAGAAGCAUAUGCGCGACAGAGUUGGGAACAAAGGCUCCAAAAAUAAAUCAUCCUGUGGUCAUUAUCUCACGCCCUAGGGGUAAUGAGGUUAGGGCUCAGGUAACACCGAAAAUUGUAAUCCAGAAACCAUCAAAUUUCUCUUAUAGGGAUAAUAAAAUGGUGCCGUGGAAUUACGGGUGUAAUGUGACCAUUUUGGGAAAAGGAGCAGAAAGAAAUCAGGAAAUAGGUUCUUACACGCGCAAUGGAAAAAGAUAUGACGCUCAAGCAGAGUCGUCCAGGGAAGAGAAUUGGAAGAAAGAACAGAGAAAAGGGAAAGCAGUAGAAGUUGAGCCAUUGGUAAAUGAACCAAUAAAAGAAGAAGAGGCAAAGGAGUUUUUGAAGUUUUUGAAACACAGUGAAUACAGUGUUGUGGAGCAACUGCACAAAUAGCCAGCCCGCAUUUCUGUAUUAGCUUUACUCCUAAACUCAGAAGUACAUCGGAAUGCACUUUUAAAGGUGCUAAACAAAACAUAUGUGGCUGACGAUAUUUCGGUAAACAAGCUGGAUCGGUUGAUCAACAAUAUUGGUGCUGACAAUUUUAUCUUCUUCAAUGAUGAUGAAAUACCAUCCGGAGGAAGAGGUUCUACUAAAGCCCUGCAUGUUACUGUCCGAUGCAAAGGGUACACACUCCCGGGGGCCUUGGUUGAUAAUGGAUCUGCACUAAAUGUAUUGCCUUUGUCCACUCUUAGUCGAUUACCAAUAGACAGUUCGCACAUGAAAGCAUGCCAGAGCAUAGUAAGGGCAUUUGAUGGAACAAAAAAAGAGGUUAUGGGGAGAAUUGAGGUACCAUUAAGGAUUGGCCCAGUCACUUAUGAGGUGGAUUUCUUGGUAAUGGAUAUUAAACCCUCCUACAACUGUCUAUUGGGGAGACCGUGGAUACACUCAGCAGGGGCAGUACCUUCAUCAUUACAUCAGAAGGUGAAGUUGGUAUCGGAGGAUCGGUUGGUAACAAUAGAUGCAGAGGAGGAUAUUAUCGCAAUGAUGACUAGCGAUGCACCUUAUGUGGACAUCAACGAUGAGGCACUAGAAUGUUCUUUUCGGUCGUUAGAAUUUGUGAACGCGAUGUUUAUUGCGGAGGGAAAUAGAAUUCCAGUACCGAAAAUAUCCAGGACCAAUGAGAUGGGAUUGCAAUUGAUGGUAGGAAGAAGAGCCUUACCCGGGAAAGGAUUGGGAAAAUAUCUUCAGGGAAGGAUUGAGGCACCAAUGCCGAAGGAAAAGUUUGAUAGAUUUGGUUUAGGAUACAAGCCAGACAUGAAGCAGAAGAAGAAAGAAGUAGAGAAGAGACAAGAGAGAAGAAGGGCGCGUUUGAAUGGACAUGGAGCUAAGUGUGAGCCUUUAACCUUUCCCCACAUAUCUACAUCUUUUGUGUCGGGAGGAUUUAUUCAUUCUGAAUGUGGAGUGUCCGGUAGCGGCAUGGGAGGAAUGUUGGAAAACGUUUAUACUAACGCCGUAGAAGCAACAGAAAGGAGGGCUUUGUUGGAGAUCUGCCCUUAUGAGCCUGGAAGCGAGCUAAACAAUUGGACUGCUGAAGAAAUCCCUGUAGUCUUUAGGGCUUAUUCAGAGUAAUGCUCAAAACAUUCCUGUUGUUUGUUGGCCUAGAAACGAUAUGAAAUCUUUUCUGAAAUAGGCAUUGGGCCUAAAUAUCAUUAUUUUAAUAAAAUACGUGUCUACGUUCAUCUCGAUCAGUCAUUUUUUUCCUUUCAUAUUUUUCAUUUGGUUGAUUGUCUUACAAAUAAUUCUUUCAUUUGUAAUUCUUUUGCACAACAUAUUCAUAAAUUUAUAUUCUUGGUAUAUUCUUUGAUCUGCCCACAUAGGUCUUCAGAUAUCAAUGACAUGAGUGACGCUGCCUCAAACGCGGAGCCUAUUUUUGAGCAAGAAGUGUGUUCAGAGGGAUCCCACGACUUUGAAAAUGACGAAGAUUAUGAUGCAUCUCCGGACUUGUUAAGAAUGAUGGAACAAGAGGAUAAGCAUAUCCUACCUCAUAGGGAAUCGUUAGAAAUAGUGAGCCUAGAGGAUGGAAAGGAGGUGAAAAUUGGAACUGAAAUCACCGCAAAGACAAGGCAAGACCUCAUCAAUUUACUCCGAGAGUUCAAGGAUGUUUUCGCGUGGUCGUACCAAGAUAUGCCUGGGCUAAGUACUAACAUUGUGGUGCAUCGUCUGCCCAUAAAUGAGGAUUGUAAACCCGUUCAACAGAAGCUUAGGAGAAUGAGACCUGACAUUGUGUUGAAAAUAAGAGAAGAAGUCAAAAGACAAUUCGACGCUGGUUUCUUACAAGAGGUCAAGUAUUCGGAUUGGGUAGCCAACAUCGUCCCUGUUCCCAAAAAAGAUGGAAAGGUACGAAUGUGUGUGGAUUAUAGGGAUUUAAACAAGGCUAGUCCAAAGGACAACUUUCCACUGCCUCAUAUUGAUACUUUGGUAGAUAACACGGCGGGCUAUUCAUUGUUUUCUUUCAUGGACGGUUUUUCUGGAUACAAUCAAAUAAAGAUGCAUCCUGGAGACAUGAGGAAAACCACAUUCAUUACCUUAUGGGGAACAUUCUGUUACAAGGUAAUGCCCUUCGGAUUGAAGAAUGCGGGAGCAACAUAUCAAAGAGCUAUGGUGACUUUGUUUCACGACAUGAUGCACAAAGAGAUCGAAGUCUAUGUUGACGAUAUGAUCGCGAAGUCUAGAACGGAAGAAGAGCAUGUUCAGGUCUUGAAAAAGUUAUUUUUGAGAUUAAAGAAAUUUCAGCUCAAGCUUAACCCGGCCAAAUGCACGUUUGGAGCCAGAUCAGGGAAGUUAUUAGGCUUCAUAGUUAGCAAAAAGGGGAUCGAGGUUGACCCAGACAAAGUAAAGGCAAUACGAGAUUUACCUCCCCCGCGCACUCAGAAGGAGGUUCGAGGUUUCCUAGGGAGGCUGAAUUACAUUGCUCGGUUCGUCUCACAACUGACAGAGAAAUGUGAUCCAGUAUUCCGGCUCUUAAAGAAACAUAAUCCGGGUGAAUGGGAUGAAGAGUGUCAGAGGGCUUUCGAUAAGAUAAAGCAGUACUUGGCUAAUACCCCAGUCUUAUCACCUCCAAGUCCAGAUAGGCCAUUGAUAUUGUAUCUAACAGUGUUGGAGAAUUCCAUGGGAUGCGUAUUGGGCCAACAUGAUGAGACAGGAAAGAAAGAAAGGGCAAUAUACUACCUCAGUAAAAAAUUUACCGAUUGCGAAAUGAGGUACUCAUCAAUUGAGAAAUUGUGUUGCGCUCUAAUCUGGGCAACCCGAAGACUGAGGCAGUAUAUGUUGUAUCACACGACUUGGCUGAUUUCAAAGUUAGAUCCUUUAAAGUAUAUGAUGGAAUCGACUGCUUUGAACGGGAGAAUGGCUAGAUGGCAGAUCUUGCUUUCAGAAUUUGAUAUAGUAUAUGUCAGUCAGAAGGCCAUAAAGGGAAGUGCAAUAGCCGAUUUCCUAGCUAGUAGAGCCUUGGAGGACUAUGAAUCUUUGAAUUUCGAUUUUCCAAACGAGGACUUGAUGUAUGUGGCGAAUACUGAAGAAAAUCCUCAAAUGGAUCACGUAUGGAAGUUAAAUUUUGAUGGAGCUUCAAAUGCUACGGGUAAUGGAGUUGGGGCAGUUUUGGUAUCCCCAAGUGGAGAUCAUUAUCCUGUUGCUAGCAAGUUGGACUUCGAUUGUACAAAUAACAUGGCAGAAUAUGAAGCAUGUAUUAUGGGCAUUCGUGCAGCCAUUGAACGGAACAUCAAAGUACUGAGAGUAUACGGGGAUUCAGCGUUGGUGAUAUACCAACUCAAAGGGGAGUGGGAGACUAGGGAUCCUAAGCUAAUCGGUUAUAGAAAAUUAGUUCUUGAAUUGGCUGAGGAGUUUGACGAUAUCACUUUCUAUUACCUCCCACGGGAGGAAAACCAAAUGGCCGAUGCUUUAGCUACUCUAGCUUCGAUGAUUCAGGUGAAUAGACUUGAGGCAAUGAGGCCUGUUCAGAUGAGUAUCUCUGAGACCCCGGCUAAUUGCUGCAAUAUUGAGGAGGAGGGAAAAGAUGAUUGUCCUUGGUAUCAGAGUAUCCUACAAUAUGUGAAGAAUCGGGAAUACCCUGAUCAAGCGACAGAGAAUGACAAAAGAACUCUGAGAAAGAUAGCCAUUGAAUAUGUCUUAGAUGGAGAAGUGUUAUAUAAAAGAAGGAAGGAUCAAGUACUGUUAAGGUGUGUGGAUGCUGUGGAAGCCAAGAAAAUUUUGGAAGAAGUCCAUGAGGGUAUUUGUGGGACGCACGCCAGUGGUUUCACGAUGGCCAGACAGAUCAUGAGAUUUGGGUACUAUUGGCCCACCAUGGAAGGAGAUUGUAUUGAUUAUGCCAGGAAGUGCCACAAAUGCCAAAUUUACGGAGACAAAAUACACGUGCCCCCUUCACCUCUUCACGUCAUGACCUCUCCUUGGCCGUUUUCCAUGUGGGGUAUGGAUGUUAUUGGGCCAAUAUCACCAAAGGCUUCUAAUGGGCAUCGCUUCAUCUUCGUAGUAAUUGAUUACUUUACUAAGUGGGUGGAGGCUGCUUCAUAUGCAAAUGUCACGAAAGCAGUAGUCAGCAAAUUCUUGAAGAAGGAGAUCAUUUGUCGAUAUGGAAUGCCUGAGAGGAUCAUAUCCGACAAUGCGAUGAACUUGAAUAAUAGCACAAUAGCUGAAGUUUGUAGCAAAUUUAAAAUUAAGCAUCAUAACUCAUCGCCGUAUCGUCCCAAAAUGAAUGGUGCAGUGGAGGCGACCAAUAAGAACAUUAAAAGGAUUGUGGGGAAAAUGACUGAAACCUACAAGGAUUGGCAUGAGAAAUUAUCAUUUGCUCUCCUUGCCUAUCGAACAUCUGUUAGAACUUCUACUGGGGCAACGCCUUUUUCUCUGGUUUAUGGAAUGGAGGCAAUAUUACCCAUUGAAGUUGAAAUCCCUUCUCUACGGGUGUUAUCUGAGCUACAGUUGGAUGAAGCCGAUUGGAUCCAAUCUCGGUACGAUCAGUUGAACCUAAUAGAAGAAAAGAGGCUAAAAGCUAUUCACCAUGGGCAAAUGUACCAGAAACGAAUGAUGCGAGCCUAUAAUAAAAAGGUUCGCCCCUGAGAAUUUCGUGAAGGGGACUUGGUACUAAAAAAGAUUCUUCCUAUGCAAAAAGAUUUUAGAGGAAAAUGGAUGCCAAAUUGGGAAGGCCCUUAUGUUGUAAAGAAGGCCUUUUCUGGUGGAGCUUUGAUCCUAUGCGAGAUGGAUGGCAAAAGUUUACCAAAUCCUGUAAACGCAGACUCCGUCAAGAAAUACUUCACUUGAAAGAAAGGGGAACCAAAGUGAAAACCCGUGAAGGGCGCUUUGCUUCCUAAAAAAAAAAACUUUGGAGAGGCUAAGGUGAAAACCCGUAAAGGGCACUUUGAGACCAAAGAGGGCUUGAAUCGAAAACCCGGAAAAGGCGACUCAAGUACUGGGCAGGAUUGGAACAUCAGGAUUUGAGCGGAUCAAAUUUUGAUCGGGGGCAUAUGAUUAUCUUGCUUUACUUGAACCAAUAAGAAAGGAUAUGCAACGUCUUGGAUCAUGGACAGAGUAUUGCAGAUCUCCUGAACACAUGUCAAACUCAGAAGGGUCUUCGAAAAGUUUGUACAGAGAAACUCAAGCUGCGAUAACUAGGGCACCUAGUUCUUAUGUGUAUUCUUGAAAAUACAUUCUUUUAUUUUCUUUCUUUCUUCCUUUCUUUUUGUGAAAACGCACAUUCUCAAUCCACUUCUUUGUUAACCUUCUUUCGCCAUCUUUGAUGUUUUAUUCGAGUUAUGAUCGGAACUAGCUUUAUUCUUAUCCAGUGUUGUGAUCUUUUUGCAAAUAUGUUGCAUAGGAAUAAUGAUUAACAAACUAAUAAAACUUUCAGGAAAGAAGUUUUGCACAUUACUCUGGAAAAUUUCUAAAUAAUAUAGGGACCUGAAACAUGACUAUUGUUUAGAAAAUACCAAGUUUAAAGGGUGAAAUAUCUAAGAAGGAAGAGUCUAAGUUAAAGACUAUCCUUUCAGAUUUUGUUGUCUAAACAUUGAUUGAACAAAAUGACAAGCUGUCGUGUUACAAAGCUUAAAUGAACAAGCAAGCAAUGAUCAUCAGGCAAUAGGAAGAGGUUACCUCGGAGAAGAGAGCCUUCACUUGCGCAUAAGACUUUGGUACGACACCUUGAGAAUGGUGUAGGAAACCAGAACGGUUCAGAUCCUAUAUCCCCGAAUUGUGAUAAAAGAGGACAGAGGAAAAGCCACAUAUUUCUACCCUUAGAUUACUGUGAGAGAAUGAUGGUACAAAUUUUGGCGUCCCAGUGGAUAUAACUUUGAGGUUUACAAUGGGGACAGUCUGGCUAAAUGUUUCUUCAGAAAAGUCAGUCAAGCGAGAAGGCGUUGAAGCACGUCAGUCACAAAGCCUUAGUAAACUUCGAGUAAUGACAACCUAAGCGAGAUCAUUCUCGGAAAAAUAAAAUUCUGCAUUCAUGCAAACACCAUUCACAUAUGUCUAGUUAGGAGCAUUUGUUUCAUUUUGAUCAUGUCAUCCUAAUCAUUAGGCAUAAUUAGGUUUAUUAUACAGGUCUUAUCUCCCUGAGAUUACAGUGGAGUAGACCGAAAAAUUUCAGAUCUUAUCUCCCUGAGGUUACAGUGGAGCAGAUUGAAGCCAGAGAUCUUAUCUCUCUGAAAUUACAGCGGAGUAGAUUGAAGCUAGUAAUCCUAUCUCUCUGAAGUUACAGUGGAGCGGAUUAAAAUAAAGGAUCUUAUCUCUCUGAAGUUACAGUAGAGUAGAUCACAUCAGAUUGAAGCCAGAGAUCUUAUCUCCCUGAGAUUACAGUGGAACAGACCGAAAAAUUUCAGAUCUUAUCUCCCUGAGGUUACAGUGGAGCAGAUUGAAGCCAGAGAUCUUAUCUCUCUGAAAUUACAGCGGAGUAGAUUGAAGCUAGUAAUCCUAUCUCUCUGAAGUUACAGUGGAGCGUAUUAAAAUAAAGGAUCUUAUCUCUCUGAAGUUACAGUAGAGUAGAUCACAUCAGAUUGAAGCCAGAGAUCUUUUCUUAAUUCCCGAGAUCGUUUAAAAACUUGAGUUUGAAAAGAUUCGUGUAUUUAGAUUUAUUAUGAAAAUCGAAACCCAGUAAGUUAGAGUACGAUCCUUUCGAAUCUAAACACGAAAUAUUUUUAAAACAAAUUUUGUUAUAUCGAGUAAAAUAAAACACGAAAAUCGUAGUAAAAAAUGUGAAAGCAAAUUACAUUGUUGUUAUACGUGGUAAAAUCAUAAUACACAUAAAAAUAAAAAAUAAUACGAGCAAUAGCAACAAUAUAAAAUAAAUAGAAGUCAUACCUACAAUCAUAUAAAAUAACAAUAUAUAUAAACAAAUAAAUUAAAACAUUCAUAAUGACGAAAAUGAAAUAAAUAAGUAACAAAUACCAUUAAAUAUAAAAAGAUAUAUAUAGACAUAAACUAAAAUAUGUAUAUAUAUAAAUUAACAAAAUGUAUAAAGUAUGUUUUAAUAUAUAAAAGAAACGAUAAAUGUGUAUAUAUAAAAAUAUGUACAUAUAUAUGGGUGUAUAAAACUAUGGAAUAUGAAAAUAAUAAAAUACAUAUAAAAGUAAGUACAUAUAUAUGUUAAAAAAUAAAAGAAAGUAUGUAUGUACAAAUUAAAGUUUAAAAAUAAUGAAAAUAUACGUAUGUAUACGAAUAAACACGUUAAUUUUGAUACAUGUUAAAAAAAUAUAUUGAAAAUGUAUAUAUAUAUAUUUAUGUAAAUUAAGAUAUACAAAAAUAUGUAUGUACGUGCAUAUAAAAUAUAUAUACUUAUAAAAUAAAAGGAUGUGUAUGUAUAUAAAUUAAUAGUAAUAUGUGUGUAUAUACGGAUUUAUAAAAAAAGUAUAUUUUAAACUAUAAAGAUUAUAUAUAAAUAUGUAUAUAUUUAGGAAAAUGAAAAUAUAUAUAUAUAGAUAUAUAGAUAUGUACAUAAGUUGUAAAAUAUAUAAACUAUAUAAGUAUAUAUGUUAUAAAAACAAUGUAUGUAUAUCACAAAAAUAUAUGCAUGUAUAUGUAUAUAUGUGCCGAAAAUUAAAUAAAAUAAAUAUAAACAAAUAGGUAAUAAUAAUAAUAAUAAUAAUAAUAAUAAUAGGACUAAAUCAAAACGGAAACGAAAUCUCAGGGCUGAAAUCAAAAAUGAAAUAGAGUAAAGGAUUAAAAUGUGAGGCGCGCGAAAAGGGAAGGACUGAAAAGGGAAAUAUUCCCUAGUCCUAGAGUGCAACGUUUCAGCGCAAAGGACCAUACAUGGUCAAAGGACCUGAUUGAAACAGAAACAAAACUCGCGGCCCAAAUCAAAAAAAAAUAAAAGGUUUGAUUGCAUUUCAACGCAAGAUGGAGGGACUAAAUGCAUAAAUUACCCAUUAAGGACAAGCAUGUGCAAGAUUCCCCACUAAUGCACCGUUCAUGAUUGAAAAAAAAGACAAAAAAUGUUUUAUAUUUUUAUUCUUUCACUUUUUGAAUUUGCUAGAGGAAAAAGGCUUUGCUUUUUUUUUAAACCACCAUUUUUUUUUAAACACCCAACACUUGGGUUUCUUAACACCUUGAGUGCCACCACGCCACCAAGACCGACGGCCGACGAUGGAAGAAAAACCCCGGCGGCACGGUCACGGCCAACUCCGGUGAGUUUCUCCUCUCCUUAUUUCUUUUGUUUUUAUUUUCGUAAGUAGAAAGAAAUAAAAAGAAAUCAAACUAGAUGUAAAAACACACAAAAAUAAAGAAACGAAAAUUACUUCUCCGAUUCAAAGUUUAUGUUUUUAUUGUUCUUGUGUCCGUAAAAAGAGAGGAAGAGCCCCCUUUGCCGGCCAUCGACCACCGCACCGGUCGCCGGACGCCGGCGACGACGCCGCCGUUCGCGGUGGCCGGAAAACCAAAAAAAGCUCCCUUUUUCUCCUUUUUGCGAAUAGGGUCCAGAUCUGGGGUUAGAAAAGCCGAAAUCCCGGCGAAAAGGGCCAAAAUCGAAAGAGACCUUUCGGUUCUUCCUCUUUCCACCGCCGCCGGAAACAGGUAAACUCCUUUUUACUUUUAUUUUUUUUAUCUUAUAUAUAUGUGUGUUGAUAAUAAAAAAGAGAAAGAAAUACUAUAGAAAAACCGAAAUAGAACGAAAAUAAAGAAAACGAAAAAAACAAGGUGAAUCACCUUCUAAAGCCUUUUUUUUAUUUCUUUCAAUUUUUUCAAAAGCCGAAUCUUCUCUUUUUUGUUACAAAAGUCCCGUUCUCUUUUUUUUUGUUUCUCUUCUUUUUUUUUCCCUUUGGUCCGAUUUUGCUUGUGGCUUUUAUAGCCAAAAAUACAAUAUUCUGUUAAUGUUUAUUGCUCCAUUUUUUGUCAUUUUCCUUUGCUUGUUUGCAGGUGCGGCAAAAGGCAUGGUGGUGGCAGACAGCAUGGGAGAGUGGGAGUGGUGCUGGUGGCAGACAACAUGGGAGAAUGGGAAGAGGCAAGUGGGAGUCUAGGGUUUUGGGAUUGGGCUUGGAUGUUGGGCUAGGUUGAUUUUAGGUUUUGGGUUUUAUUAUUUAGGUUAUUUUGUUGGUAUGGGCCCGGGCAAAAAUGGACUUUUACAUAUAUUAUUCUACUCAUUUACGGCUACUAAUCCAUCAUUUCCAUUGUUGAAUUUGGAAAAUGCCAUUGCGAAAAUUUGGGUUAAGAAUGCUUAAUUGAAAGAAGAUAAAACCCAUCAAAUUAAUUAAUCCCAUCAAUCAAAAUCUUUUGAGAUUCCAAAAACGAAAAAUGCCAUUCCAAUCCAAUCUUCUCCAUGUUUAUUACCUAGAUUUGACCUUCCCUGAGACUAAUAUAUACAUACAAUACAAUCAACAACUAUAUAAUAAUUUUAUUAAAAAAACCUAUGUAAUUAAUUAAUUAAUCACAAGUUUUCGCAAUGUUAGAUCCGAAUAGUAAGAUUUUGAAUGUUUAAAUUCGAAUUUUAUUAUAUGUAUGUACGAAUUUUUAAUUUAAAUUUUAUUAUGAACUAAAUUUCAUCAUGUGUGAAAUAUAUAUAUGGAUAAUUUAAUUAUUAUUAAACUGUUAAUUGAAUCUUAACUCGAGAGAUUUCAUUAUAAUUAUAGCAAUAAAAGAAUAAAAGAAUUAUGAGUUCAAACUUAUUUAAAUGUAUAUUUUCCUCCUAUUUAAAAAUUAAGGUUACCAAGUAUAAUAAUUUUUUCAAAUAUCCAUUUUAAGAAAAUCAAUAGCAAACAAUAGUUAGAAAGUCCAAUUAUUGUGAGAUAACAUCAAUUUUCUUCAUUAAUUGGAGUCAUUUAAAACAAAAGGGUUAAUUGCCCCAAACAUCUUUCAAUUAUGACACUUAUUCUAAAUUGACUCUUAGAUUUCAAAUCAUUCUAAUUAUAUUCUUAAACUGUUGAUGUUAGAUCGAUUAGGUUCUUUUGUUAUGAAAAUCAUUAAUUUAACUGUUAAAUGAUACCUUAAAACUUAAGAAAAAAAAUAUUGUGAAAAUGGAUGCUUUGAAAAUCUUAGUUUAGAGGUUUUCAAAACUUUCACAGAAGCUUUACCAUUCACUAUUUCUUUUCCCCACUUUUACUUUUAAAUUUUAUGCAACAAGGUUCUAGUUUUCUUUGAAUUAUUCAUUUUAACUUUAGCUAUAUAAGAUUUGAAGUGUUAUUUAACAAUUAGAUUAAUGCUUUUAAUAACGAAAGGACUUAAUUAAUAUAAUAUUGAUAGUUUAAGGAUGUAAUUAAAAUAUUUUAAAAUUUAAAGAUCAAUUAAAGUGAAAGUCAUAGUUUAAAGAUGCCUGGUGCAAUUAACUCAGAACAAAAAGAUGAAUGUUAUGAAGGUAAUGGGUUGAGUUGGUUUAGGGUCAAGUUAAUUCGGCUUAGGUUAAAUUGGAUUUUAAUUUGGAUUGUCUCAAAUUUAAGUCACUCAAGAUUUUCAGUCAACUUUUUUCGGGUUUUUUUAUUUGUUUUGGUCAUUUCGGUUUUAAGUAAUUUCUAGUUCUAAUUAUAUGUUGUUUUGAAUUGAAAAUUUCGAAUUAUUAAUUUCUUAUGAUAAAAUCAAAUUAGUUUUGGAAAUGAAUUAAUUAAGUUUAGAUUUCAAAUCCGAAUCAAAAUUAACUAAAUUAGCUUCACUCUUUUAAUUUUAGGUAUGUGGCAAUUCGAUUAAUGAUCCGAUUAAUUAGAGUCUACGAGAUAUUGGUUAAGGAUUUAACAUAAGAUUUAUAUUUGAUGUCUCCAUAAUGUAUAAUUUUAUGUAUUAUCAAUGAAUUAGAUGAUGGCGCAUUAUCAAAAAAUUAAAUUAAAUUCACUUAAUUUUAUUUUUAAUUUCUUUCUUACCAUUAAUUUUAUUAAUAUAACAUUUUAUAUUAUUUUAAAUAAUAUCAACUUAACAAUUUUGACGAUACGUGAAAAUUAAUUAUAUACUUAAUUAUCUUGUUCAGUAUUUUUUUUUCAAAAAAUUUAUAUAAAAUAAAAAUAUAAUGUCAUUAUCCAAUAUAUUUAAAAAAUCAUUUGUGCAGCAAACAACAAAAACGACAAUACAGCAAAAUAGGUUACAAUACAAACUAAAAAUAAAGAUAAAACAAAGCAUUUGCAUGCGAUUUAGAAGUUGCAUGACAUGUGCCAUGUGUGAUGUGUGAAUACCCAACUACAAAAAAAUAGACAGUUUUGUGGUACUAUUUACAGAACAAAAUUAUUUUUAAUGUAAAUUCUUAUUUGACUGCAUUUAAAAAAAAUCAAAAUUUGUCGAUUGAGUCUUUAGCUCGAUUGACAUAGGCAUUGUAGCUAAUAUAGUAGGACGUGGAUUCGAGUAUACUGAAGCGCAUUAUCCUCCUAUUUACGGGUUGAGGAGGAACUAUAGAUAGUUCUAGGCAUUGUGUUAAAAAAUAGCCAGAUAUUAUCAGAACCUCUAAAGAGAUUGUUCAAGAAAAAAAUCAAAAUUUUUUUUUAGACAGAAAUGCUAACUAAAAUAUUAAUAUUUUAAUGAUGUUAGCGUAGCAGUCCACGUGUAUUUUAUGCUGGUAAGACACUAUUUACCUUAUAUUUAUGUCAACAAAUAAUUUAAAAAUCAUAAAAAAAAUAUUAUGAAGUAUAUGUGGAACACAUGUUGCCAUGUUUAAAUAUUUAAAGUUCUUAUCAGCAUUUCCGUUAAAAAUAAUAAUUUGAUUCUUUUUGAAAAGUUCACUGUCAAAAUAAAAUAUGGGUUAAAUUGAUAAAAAAUAUAAACGUUGAAGACCAAAUUUUACAUUAUACCUAACAUAACCCUUUAAAUAAAAGCCAUUAAUAUUUCACUUUAGUUUUCGAUAAACCCCAAAAAUUCCAAUUGGGUCUCAUCUCAAUAUUUUCACACUGCUGCUUCCAAAAAUUCCUUAAAACCAUUGGCACAUUUCCCUGGAUAUUUGACAGGGGAGCUUGAAUUUUUUUAUAUAGAGCUUUUAACAUUUAAAACAGCUGUUUCAUAAACUGAUAAAACAGAAGGGAAAAAAAAAAGCAGCAGCAGAGCAUUUGCAGACCGCAGUACAGCAUGAUGAAAGAAAAAUAGCUUUUUUUAUAAAACAAAAUACCUGCCCACCAAUCCUACUGUACAAAACAAAACAAAAAAGCAUCAAACAUUUAAACACCUUAAAGUUAGAGCAAAAGAACAGAAAGUAGUAAUAAAACUACAACCCAACCUUAAAUGCUAAGAAGAUCAGGUGGUGUUGAUUUAGGUGCUGGGGGCUGUUGUUGCUCGUCUUUUGGGUCCUUUGUGAUUGUUGUUGUAGGUGAGUCUAGAGUUGUGUCUGGUGAUGGUGAUGUUGGGGGCUCAUUGAUUGUGGUGUCUCCCUGUUUCGAGUUUGGUGGUUUUGGGAGUUCGGUUA
rnacentral:lncRNA from 1 species